rnacentral:lncRNA from 1 species
UUUUUUCUUUUUUUGUUUUGUUUUCUUUUGUUUCUUCUAUGUUAUUUUCUUCGUCCAAACAGAGCGAAUGAUUUCUCGGUUAUUUAAUCCUCUUUUUAAUCUUUGACGCUAGGCCUAGACUAUCUACAUGGAGGAUGAAAGAAUCUAACAAUACACAAAGAUGUAAAGAGUGAGAACAUUCUCUUAGGAGAUAUUUGGUUUCCGAAAAAAAAAACUCAAAAAAUAGUUUUCAAGCUAGGAAAGUUUUUUUUUUUAACCAUUUGGUUCUUGGGAAGAAUAAUUUUCCUAGAAAUUUUGCUUCCAAAUUUUACAUUAAAAAAACCUCCUCUAGAUAACUCUGUCGGGCUUGCCAUUUGCCCCAUCAUCAAAAGUCUUGGCCUCUUCACCAAUAACCUCUCUCUUUUUCUCUUCUCUCUUCAAUUAUUUUUCUUUUUCUACUACAUUUCUAAGAUCACAAAAGUUUAGAGAGACAUUUCAGAAACAAAGAGGAAAGAGAAAGGGCAUGAUAAGAAAUGUAGAGGAAAGGAAUGGGAGAUGGAGGAGAUAAAAAAGACGAGGAAUCUAGGUCGUUCGCUAGAAUCUCUAUGUGCAUGUGUCCAAGUCAACCCCACUUAUAUUUUCUUUCAUUUCUACAUAAGUAUAUUUAUUCGAAUUUUACCAUCAUCUUUUGGAAGAUUGCAUUGAAUCUAGAGUUUUCCAAAGUUCACAUCUAUUUGAGUAGAUCAAAACAAAAAGACACAUUUAUAGGAAUCACUUGUUGAAUUACCCCAAAUUUUAAUAAAUUUAUAGGAAAUAUUUGUUAAAUUACACAAAAAUUUGAAUAAAGAAAAGUGCAAACUAAUACAACAUACUAAUGGUUUGUUUAAGUUUAUCCCAUAGUAACCUCUAAUGGAAGGGCAGGUUCUGCUAUCACUAUAAAAGAAGGGGCAUUAUAAACAUGAAUGUAUAUGUAGAAAAAAGAAAGAUUGAAGAAGGAAGUAGAAAAAAUAUUUUUAGUAAAAUACCUAUUCUACUUAGGAGCCGUUUGGUUAAAUGUAAUUACAAAUGUUGUGUAAUUGAAGAUACAUGCAGUUGAAUAACUACAUGCAUCAUGUUUGGUUAGAUAUAGUGGAAAACGUUGUAACUAUAAAAAUUUGUUUGGUUGCAUGCAAUUGAGAAAUAAUUUUUAAAAUUUUAUCAUUUUAUAUAUAUGAUGGUAAGAUUACCUCCAAUGUAAAAAAAAUUUAUUUUUUGUUUAAAAAAUAUUUAAAGAGGUAAGGUUACAUUUUGUUUAAAGUUACACUCCAACUGCUGCAGUUGGAACUGCGGCCAAUUUGGGCGUAGUUCCAACUGCUGUAGUUGGACCUCCUCCUGCAGUUCCUACUAUAGUAGUUGUAGUUAAAUAUAUCAAACAAAACACCGAAUUUGCAUUUGCAUGCAGUUACAACUGCCGUGCAGUUGCAACUACAUGCAACCAAACGGCCCCUUAAUGUAGAGAAUGAUGCAAAAACAUUACAAAGGUCGUAACUUUGAAAAACAAAGCAUGUUGGAAGGGGGUAGUAAAUGAUGAAAUAGACCCAUUAUUAUCUAAUAAUCCCUUGGUCCUCAUUGGCUUAUCUCCUGAAUCAAAAUCAAUUGGAUGCAAAUAAGUAUUUAGAAGAAAGUAUAUAUAACAUAGAUGGAUCUAUAUAGACUUUUGAAACUAGAGUGAUAGUUAAAGGAUACAGAGGAAAAGAUGGUGUAAAUUACUUUAUAUUUAUAAAUCAAUAGCUAGAAUAACAUCCAUUAGAAUUUUAUUAGCAUUUACUUUGAUUAUAAUUUUUGUGUACAUCAAAUAAAUGUUAAAAUAGGAUUUUUUAAAUGAUGAAGUAGAUGAAAAGAUGUAUUUGGAAUAGCCUGAAGGGUUGUUCUAUUUAAAGAUAAAAAAAUAUUUGCAAAUUACUUAAGUCAUUAUAUAAUUUGAAGCAAGUGCCAAAAGAGUGGCAUGACAAUUUUGAUUUCAUAAUAUUGGCCCAUGAAUUCAAAUGUAACUAGUGUAGGGACCCGCGCGAUGCGGCGGGUAAAAAUUCUUUAAUAAAAAUUUAUAGAUUAAAUAAAUAAAUAAAAAUGUAAUGAAAAAACAGAAAGAUAUAACCACGUGUGAGUGGAUUUAAUAAGAUGAAAAACCAAGUAAAGGCUUUUAGAAUGAAAUUACAACCAAAUGGAGAACAAUAAAAGAAAACGAAAAAAAAAACUAUAGAAGAAAAAAAUUAUUAUAUAGAUAUUCUGGAAAACUAUUUGGAAUAUUAUGAGUGAAGGAUAACAAAUAAUAAAGAGCAAAUCAAAGUGGCUCAAUUCCUAUUUAACUAAUCAUAUAAAGAGAUUCAUCUAUCCUAUCAUUCUUUCUAACUCAAAUUAGAUUCUUUUUAAAAGACAAUGGUUAUUGUAUUUGACUAUGGGCAUCAAAGUUGUUAUCACAGAAUUAGUACAAAAUGCAAAGAAAACCAAAGGAAAAGUAAAAAAGAAUAUAUAAUAGUCAUGCAAAAUAAUUUUGAAGUAAUAAUAGUUAGUUCUAACUACCGCUAAAUUAUAAAGGCCCAAUUUUUAUACAUCUAUGAGCCAACAAUCUAUAUACUCACUACAACAAAAACGGUCUAUAGCGACAUUUUUAAAUGUCGGUAUAGGUCAAAAAAAGUGCUGCUGGCUAAAUUAUCGACACUUUUAAAAAGUGUAGCUAUAUAUGGGGUCGCUAGGUAUAUAGUGACAGUUAAAGAGUGUCGCUAUAACCUAAAAGAGUGCUGCUAAUUUACCGAUACUUAUUUAAAUAUUUAGCAACCGCCGGAACUCUAUCUCAUUGGCUGCGGUGGUGGAGGAGGACGAGAGGAAGGGAUCUUCGUCUAGGAUUUCAGUAGAUUGAGUGAGGAGAGAAAGGGAGAUGGUAAUCGAUUUUUUUUUUUUUCUUUUCUGUUUAUAAUCGGGCCGAAUGGGCUGGGUGGGGUGGGUUGAGUAGAGUAACCUUUUAUUUUUGGUUGGAUUGGGCUUUAUAUUUAGGCGUUAGUAGAUUUUUUUUAAGUUUUGGCAUAAAUGAGACACUUACACAAAAGUGUCCCAAACAUGUGUCCCUAUAACCUAAUUCUUUUGUAGUGUAUGCUUAGUCUGUUGAUGCAAGAUGACAACUUAAUCAUUGUUCUCGAUAAUUUUACUUUGUCAGUUAUUAUGUAACUUAAAUAACUUAUUUAAGAAUAGUAGUGUAGAAUUGAUUUGACUUCAGCAAUAAAGAAAAAGAACUUUUAAAGAAAAAAUUCUUAAAGUUAUAGCUUCCACCCACAAGUAAGAUCAAAAUAAUAAUCACUCCUCUCUUAAGUUUGUUAGAAAUUUAAUGCAGUGAAGAUUAAAUCAUAAAUCAGAACCAACAAAAGAUCAAGAAAAGAGAGAUAAAAAUAAAUUGUAAAAAAUACUUCUUGUCAAAAGGUCCAAGUGCUGAUAAGAACACCACGUGACAAUAGUAGGCAAGCAUAAAAAACAACAGUAACGAAAAAAAAAAAAGUAACAUGGUUAAUUAUUCAACAAAAGUUUAAAAUGGAAUACCCAAAUUGAUAAACAGCAAUAAAGCAACUGGGCAAUUAAAAGCCUAACACCAAUGCAAGAAACAAACCCAACACUGACAUCGCAGGUAGGGAAAAAAUGUUCAAUAAUGCCAUAAAAAAGGAAAGCAUGCUUACUACGCUACUAAAAGUUUAAACACAUACGGGAAGUAAAAAAAAGUACGUAGAGCUUAUAGAAAACCAAGUAUAAAUAAAGAACGUUAUGUAAAAGAUAUUGGUUUCUAAUAGUCCCUACAACACUCGCCAUCAAGGCAUGCAUCAUUACAAAAGCACAAACGGGUGGAGAAGAGCAUGUAACUAUAUAUAAACAGCUAUGGAACAAUUAGGCAAUUGAGGUCUUAAUGCCUAUAUAAUCUAAACCAUUGAUUAAAAUACACAUAUAAUCAAAAGCUUCGCUAACCAUCGUGGAGCUCAUCACGGGCGAAACACUGGAUAAUUACAAAUCCCACUCUACUAAAUAAAAUAGUAAGAUAGACAUUAAUGUAUUUUUUUCCCUUUUUUUUAGCUUGUUUACUACAAAGCAAAAGUCAGGGGAAAAAAAAAGUAUGAACAAAUCCACUUUAAAACUAAAUGUUUCAAACACAACCUAGCAAAGAAAUUAUUAAAAGGCGAUAAUGUUGGAACAUUAACAUUCUUUUUUUUCCAAAAAAAAAACAAACUUGAUACAGGAAGAAUAAGCUAAUAGCUAUGAAGAAAAACAAAAGUUGCUAUAUAAAGGUGCAUGACAUAUAGCUAUAGGCUACCCAGUCCCUUAUUUCUAUCACAACAAACUCUCUUUUGUUUUUUAUGAACCACAAUCUAAGAUGAACACUUGACUAAAAAAGAAAUUUUAAAAAGCAAAAGUAAAUCUUAAAGUGAAACCAAGCAUAAAAAUAGAAGACAAUGCAACAAAAAUAAUAUAAACAACAAAUUAAUGUAACUAUAUUGAAACAGGCACAAAAAUAUUGGGACUAAGUUGUAAUAUUGGAAUUGUACAGGGACUAUACAUACAUUUUACCCUAAUAAAAAAUUUUCAAGGAGAUAAUUGUUCAAUCCCAGUGAGUUGCUAUCAAAAAGAAUGUUCUAAGACAACAUACAGAAGGGGUCAGGGACUUAGGUGAUGCUUUCAAUCAAAACCGAGUGUUGGAUAUUCCAUUACCAUCAUUAAUUACUUGAUUCAUCUCAGUCAUCCUUUUUUUAAUUUGACUCUCUUGUUAAUCACAAUGUAGGUUCCAUCCCCUACAUUGAGAAAGGCAAUCUUUGUCAAUAAAUAAUAACAGUAUGGACUCCCAAAGUAGUAAUAAAGAAUUAAUAACCAAUCAUACUUCUUGUUAAAGUAUAUGGCUAACUAUGUAAAUAAUUUCUUAAGCUUUAAAUCGAUGACUAAAUACAACAACUUGGUAUCAUAAAAGCUAUCACAAAAAGCAUUCAAACCAUUUAGUUGCAUUUUGAAAUGAGUAAAACAAUACCUUGACAUCAGGCUUCACAGAUUUCAAGUGUCUCCAAACACCAAUCACAGAACCUCCACUCCCUAUUCCCAUAACAAAGAUGUCGACUUGCCUUAGAGUAUCUUCCCAUAUCCCAGGACCAGCGGUUUCAAAAUGGAUCUGGUAUUGUAAAGAAAAAAUUAAAAAUAACUUUAUAAAACAAAAAAAAGGGUAUUUAGGCUCAAACAUAUAGAAACACGACAAAUGUGUGGAAUUAGGAUCUUAUCAUAGUUUAGUUUCACUUCCAUAAAAUAGUCAAUUGUGGACAUUAAGAAGUAUGUGUAUAAGAAAAUCUAAUUGCAAACAAAAUUAUAUUUAAUUAUUCGCUUUGAUUUAUUUUGAUAUGGAAAUGUUAUUAAGAAAGUCUAACUAAUCCAGAGCUAAAAAAAAUUUUAUAGCAGGAUCUAGAACUCCUCAAGAUAUACUAUUGCUUGUUUCUAAUAGUAAGAAAUGAACAAAACUGGCGAGACGAAAUUAGUAUAAAAAAUAAGCACUCUUAAGUUUGUUGACCUUAAAAUCUCAUGCUUUUGCAAAAGCCCGUGCGGCGUCCGCCUUGCUACUUAUAAAAUAAGCACCCUUAAGUUUCUUGACCUUAAAAUCUCAUUCUUUCACAAAAGCCAAUGCGGCGCCUGCCUUUCUCACCGGUCACUACAUUCUUUUCUAAAAUAUCUUAUCACUCAUUGGUUAAUUUCAACUUUUGUAAAUAAGAAUAAAUAUGUGAAUUGUUGUCGAUAGGCAUGAUGAGCUUGAAAAGAAGAUACUAUUCAAUGACAUAAAAUAUAUAACAUGUAGAAGAAGAGGUUAAGCUACCUUAUCAUUUGCAGGAUUCUCAAACUGCUGAAGCAUGAAGGUGUCGUGAUAGGACUCCAUAAGUUCAUACACUUUCUUCACGGUUCCGCCCAUCUCUUUGGUAGGGUUAGUCAGCACCAAAUUUGUGCCAUACACCCUCAUGACGACCCUCCUCUCAAGGCUCGUGUAUGACGGCAUGAUGAGCACCAUCUUGUAACCUUUCAGAGCCGCCAAUUUCUCUUCCUCUUGAAAGUGAUUGUACAAAAAAUAAAGAGAUGAAUCUCAGCAUGUAAAAUUUGAAGUAAUAAUAAAUCAUACUUAUAAAAGCUAACACUCAAAAUAUUACCCACAUAAAAUGAGUGCUCUAAAAAUUUUAUCUCUUAACAUCCCUUUUUUUUAAAAUGGCUGAUUGAGUUUUAUAUUCAAAGCAAAGUAUAAUAGAUCACUCGUAAAAUGUACUUAAAUUAAACAAAUUGAUCUAUGAGAUCAAAUAGGUAAAGAUUUUCCACUGAAACCAAUACUAAUCUAGGUUCAUACUCACAAAACAAAUGAAAUUGAAAAGAUAGAAUUGUAAAUAUGUAAUAUGCAUUUAAAAGACAAACCUUAGCAACAUGAAUAAAAAAAAAUAGCAAAGAAAAGAUGGCAUAAAAAAUUCAUCACCUUUCAGAUUAUGUGAAGCCUUACAAUCAUCAUGAUAUAUACGAUAUUGAAUAUUAACACCUAAUUUUUCUGUUUUAAUUGAACUGCAUUACUAAAAUAAUCUUUAGAUGAUUUUAAUGUAAAAUUUAUCAAAUUUAGGUUAAGUUUGAAUUUGAAAAUAGGUUAUAGAAAUUCUAACAGAGGAAUACUGAAUUAUGAAGAUAAAUUGCUCAUAAGAAAUCUUUGACUCACCAUUGAAGGAAGGCAUUCAUCGAACACCUACAGCAGCAAGAGAUCGAUAAAGGUAAAUAGAAAUAGGAAGUGUGUUGAGCUGGAGCAAGAGAUCAACAAAGGUGGAAGAGAAUGAAGAUUAAAAUGCCUACUACUUCAGAAGAAAAGGAAGGAAAAAACUAUUGUCUGCAUACAAUAUUUGACAUGCAAAUUCUUAUCAUUGAUAAUGCUCUCAAUGGAAAUUACUUUUUUUUUUCAGGGAAGGAAAUGAAAAUUACUCUAAUUCGAAAAGUUUCCCUUUCUAAGUAAACAAAUUUGAAUUUUUUUUUUUCUCCUAUAAGCGCAUGAUCCGUAACUGAUUCAGAUUUGAGCUGUCAAAAGACAAAUCAAAUUUGAAUUAUCAUUACUCGUACUGAAGUAAACAAAGUUGUUAUGUUGAUUUGAAGCUUCAGAAACUAAAUUGUUAAGAUUGAGAGUUAGGAAGCAUAUUUGAAAUCGUAACUAAGUUUCAGAGUUUUGCAAUUAUCCUUUUUGAUCAAAACCUUUAUUCAGCGGUAUGCCAAACUUAAUUCAAAUUAGAUCUCUAGCUUUCGAAACCUAGAACAUGGAGAUGGUCCUUGAUUUUUUUUUCAUUCUCAGGAGUAGAGAAGUUGUUCCAAAUGCAAAAUUCAAAAUAAAAUAGAACAAACAUGCCAUCAAAAGGAAGUUGUAUCCCACCUCAAGAAUCCUCUGUUGGAGCCUAUGCCUGCUCCACACCAUUUCAAAGAAGAAAAAAUGGAAUAGUUACUAAUGCUAGCUAUAAAAAAAUCGAGUCAUGGUUUCAAGUUAAGAAUUCAAUGUAAAUUUGGAAUGCUUAAAAUUUUGGAGACAUAAAAAUUUAAAAUGUUUAAUUGGAAGAUUCCAUGAAAAGACAAAAUAAGGAUCUAAAUGUAAAAAUUCAAAAGAAAAAAAGGAUUGAAAAAGAAAAGAAAAGAAUAUACUUAUUCAUUUUAGUAAUAAUAAAGAAUGUGCAAUACACUCCACAAUUGUAAAAUUUAUUCAUGAAAAUUCUUUAUUUCUAUAUUCCUUCUAUGGUCAGUCAAAGUUUCUUAUGAGCAAUUUAUCUUCAUUAACCAAUUUGUUCUUUAUUUGAAUAUCUAUAACCUAUUUUCGAGUUCAAACUUAACCUAAAUUUGAUAAACUUCAAAUCAAAAUCACCUAAAGAUAAAUCUCUUAUCUAUUAAACUUGAAAGAUCAAGCUUAAGCUCAGUUUGUUUGUUCUAAAGCUAGCUUAAAUACAAAUAAUCAUACUUGCGAAGGAAUUCGGCUAAAAAAGGACUGAUAGAAAGAGGGGGAAAAGCCUUAUAUCAUAUAACCAAUUUGCCUAUGUAAUUCACAUUAUUUUUUCUCCUUUUUAUUCUUAUGGCUUUUGGAUUGUCUUCACUACCAACAUUAUCUUCCUAUUUAAUGAAAUAUAUAAUGUAAAAGGUAAAAAUGGCCAUAAAAGGUGAAUUUUCCGAAUCAAUUUAUGUAAGGCCUAGAUUAUGAAUCAUCGUCCAUACACAACCACAUUUAUGCUCUAGAAUUUCGAAAGAAAAAGGUAAGAUGAUGUUGCAUGUAUUGGGAAUAAUUAGAAAUUGGAUUGAAUUAAAACUUGCAAGUUCACUCUAUAAAAUAUAGGGUAAAUUGGAUUAGGUAAAUUUUACAAAUCUUUCAAUUUAUGUGGUGAGAAAUACUCAAUUUAAUAAAAACAGAAGUUGAGAAAAAGGGGAGUAUAGUUUUGGGGACCAAUGUUUUUUUUUUAUAUCUUGGAAUUAAUAAUUUCCAAGAGAAUGUAGUGCGGUUGUAGGUAUGUUAAUAUUUCUACUAAAAUAUUCGGCUGCAACCUAGAUUCCAAGCAAGAGAAAUCAUAUCAAAAUUCAAAAGAGCGGGAAUGAAAUAAGGAUCAGAACUUUGCUCCCAUUUGCCUCUGAUUCAAGGAGGUUUCUCACAAAAUCGAUCUCACUAUGCAUCGCCGUGAGAAUCAAAGGGGCCUUUAUAAUGAAAAGAAAUAAAUCACACAAAAAUCAUACAUAUAUUUUAACCAUUUCCUUGCUUGUUUUUGCUCAUUUACCAUAUCAGGAUGAAGCAAUCGAUCCAAAACCAUUAAUAGAACAAAUAGAAACCCUAAAAAUCUCAUGAGCAUGCUAAUAAAAAUUACAAAAUAAUCACCAAAGAGAGAAAAAUGAUUAAGCGAAGCCGACCUCGACGUGGCCAUUUGCAGCGGCGAUAUGGAGUGUGGAGAGGCAGUCGUGGAUUGAUACGGUCCUACCGUAUCAAUAGGGAUAAACGAUCACUUCGAGGGGAUCGAACCUCCUAAAGAAUUAAGAAGUAAAGAAGUAGAGAGAAGAGGUAGAAAGAGAAGACAAGAUAUGAGGAAAAAGAGACAAUAUUACUUUCUUAUUUCUUGUAAUUCCGGGUUACAUUAUAUAGAGUCCAAAUCCUUAAACUACUCCUAAUCAUACCUAAUAAAUAUAUUCCCAAACAAGAUAACUGCCUAUUCCUAAAUAUAUUCCUAAAUAACAAGAUAUUUAAAUUUGAACUUGUUUAUUAAAAGGAAACUAUUAAAAAGGAAAGUUGAGGUCGCAUCAUGGAUUGUGAUCCGGCGGAGGAGAUCGGGAUCGAUGCGGAGGGAGGAGCGGACGGUGUCGAAGAAGGAUGCUCAUCGCUGGAUUGGCUAAAGCCCGAGCCCUGCUGCAGUGAUUUGGCUCUCUCCUUUCUCCCCCUGCUCUGGCAAUGGCUUCGGCAAGGUCUUAGGUAAUGGCUCCAGCAAGGACAUGAUCGAGAGAGCUAGGGUUUCGGGGGAGGGGAGAGGUCAAGGGGACGAAGGGGUUAAAGAAAAGGGUCGGAGAGGAGAGGAGAGGAGAUGAGAGGAGAGAUAGGGGGAGCAACCGGGAUCGAAGCGGAGGCGUUAUCGAAGAUGCGGGGUAGCAGGGAUCGAAGAGGCGCGAGUAUCAAACCGGCGGGGCAGCAGGUGGGAAAAUUAAGAAUGGGAUUAAGCGUAAGAUGACACGUGGAUGACUAACACGGGGAUUAAUAGAGGAUAUAUAGAUAAUGUGGAUAUAUCUGUUUAUUGUAUGUUUACAGAAUAAUAUGGUGUGAUAACAUAUUUAUAUGCUGAUAAUGCUUAUAAUUAAAACAAAUAUAAAAAUUGUAAAUUAAAUUAAGAAAUAUCUAACUUAUAUAUUCAAAAUGAAAGAUUUAUAUAAAAUAAAUGCUAUGUUAAGAAUACAAGGGAAGAAACAUAAUGAGAGUUAUGCUUUGUAUCAAACACAUUAUCUUACGAAAUAAUUUUAAGAUAUAAUAAAUAAAGAAUAAAGGAAGCAAGUGUCUCACUGUACUUAGGCCAACUUGGUCAAAGUUCGGUACAACGCAUUGGGGAUUCGAUAUAUUACAGCAAGUACCCUUUACUAUACUUCUCUAAAUUAGCCAAAUAGUAAGAUGUACCAGGACCUAAAGCUAAGAUCGGGAUAGAUUAUGUCACAGGUUUAUCUCAGUCACCACGGGGCCACGAAGCCAUACCUAUCAUUGUGACGCCCCAACUUCGAGGGUCACCCAUCAUACGACUACUCCCGUCCUAACACGCUUAACUUUUUUAAUCUCUUGGGCCUAGCCACUACCCUAAAUGCUUAAGUCGGGUUAAGAGUUUAACCCUAUUAUAUCUUAUAUAUAGGACUACCUGGGGUCUCACAAAUCUCCCCUCCUUAAGUCCUAACGUUCUCGUCAGGCCCAGACUCACAAGUACCAGGCGAUGUGAGACUCGUCUCGUCUCGCUAGCCUAAACCAACCUUGUGGUGAGCUGUUCUCUACCCACAACAGUCAAUAGCAUAAGAGCCUCGCUUUCCCCGUUGUAUAAUUCUGGUUUAGCCGAGACUCAUCUCACACUUCCGGCUGGUAAUUGGCUCUGAUAUCAAAUGUAACGACCCGACCCACUAGCAAUAAUAACUCAUUGAACCCAAACUACUAGCGCAAAAUGUUUAAGCCCAGUUAUUAUGUCUAGCCUAAUCAAGCUUAUAUGCUCCCACAUCUAGCCAUAACUAUCCGAUGUAGGAUUAUUGUUGUGGUGUGACACCCAAUAAUCCCACAUUGAAUAGUUAUGACUAGAUAUGGGAGUAUAUAAGCUUAAUUAGGCUAGACAUAAUAACUGGGAGUCGGGUCGUUACAGUCAUUGUGGAUCUGAUGUGGGCAUGAUUAGAUAGAUGUGUUCCCGUUACAGUCAUUGUGGAUCCGAUGUAGGCAUGAUUAGAUAGAUGUGUUCCUGUGGUAGUAGCUUUGUGUUUCAGAUAUAUCUUUUUGUUUAGACCCCUUAUGUAGUUAGUUAUCAUUCACGAUGGUAGUUGUGGAUUUGGGCUUCUGAGUAGUUUCUUGUAGAUUCUUUUACAGUGUUUGUUAAUAUUCAUCUCUAUAUGUUCAUAACUUAUUUAUUCUUAUUAUUGUUGUUCCUAUUGUGCUUAAUGUGUUGGUUGAUAUUAUACUGUAGAUUCCUACGUCGUGCAUAUACAGAAGAGACUUUGGUUUGAUUUUUUUUUCUAAAGAAAGUAUACAUUUUUCACUAUUUUUUUUGUAAAUAUUUUUACAAAAGAGCUCUAUGUUGUGAUGGUUAUUGGCUAUUUUUUUAUUGCGGAUAUGGUUAGAGAUUUAGUUAUGGUACUCUAAUCUACAUUUCAAGUCCUACUAGUGUUGUUUUAUUUCCUUAGAGUGCGUUUGGUUCACAUUCUCUAUAUUAUUUUCAGUUAUCUCAUUACGACAAUGAAAUUUUUGUUAAUCUUUCAAUAUUUAGGAAUCUUAAAUAACUUAAGUCUUACAUUUUCAUAUAACUUAAAUUUAAAAUUCAGAUUUUAAUCGUACAGAGGUGCGGCGAUGACAACCAGAAGAGGGGUUCUGGGUCAUAACAAGAACAAUAAGAUAUACAAUUUAUGAUCUAUACAAAUUUGGUUUUGGUGAAUUCACUAGCCUUUGAUGUUGUCAAAUUAUUUUUAGUAAAUAUGAUCGAUGAAACGUGUCAUUAAGGUAGCCAUUUUUAUCAUUGGCAGAGAUAUAUAUGAAACUUGACUAAUCUGAGUGAAAUCACAAAAUCUAAUUAAUCUUAUCAGUAUUUAAAAAAAAAAAAAAAAACUCUUUUAAUAAUACCGUUCAUAUAUACCAACCAUCCUUAUUGCAAGUGACAAAGAAUUUGGUGGUUGGCUAAGUUUAUUUCUAAAAAAAUGAACGAAGCGAUUAGUAUGCUACCUUUCUGUCAAAAAAAACUUAAUACCAUUCAUAUAUGUAGUCUAUUUUUUGAGAGACAAAUAUUUUUGUACACCACUUCAGAUUACUGCUGAAUAUUUGCUCCUUACCGUUUAUGGAUAUAGACCAGCAGUUGUACCAUAAAAAUUGCUAUAUAUGUACAAUAUUUUCUUCACUCUCUUUUUUUGUCGAAUUUUAAUUUGUUAUAGUAAACUUUUUAAAUUGUUUUAAUCAAAUCACAUAAUCCAAUUAAAAUGAUCGAUCGAACAGUGAUUCGUCGCUAAUAUAAUAGUAAUAUAAUAAUAUUUUAGUCAAUGUGUAGCAAAUUUCAGUUAAAUAUAUAAAUUAAUCCAAAAGACGUAAAUGCUGUAAGAUUGAAAGUUUGACUUAGAAACUAUAACACAUUAAAAGUUGAAGAUCAAAGUAUCACAACUUAUAGUUAGAGGACCAAAACUGUAAUUUAUCUUUCUCUUUUUCUUUUUGAGGUUUUAUAUUUGGGGAAUUGGGGCCUUUUGGUCUUCUUCUUGAAAGAAAGGGCCUAGCUAUGCGGCGCAUUCGUAGAGCGCAUCACAAGUCUGCUAGAGAAAACUCUUGAUUUGGAGCUUUUUUUGUAAAAAUCAGAUUCGCUAGUAGUAAUAACUCAUUUGGUCUAAAUCAUCGGCCCAAAAUGCUUAAAUUCAGUUAUUAUUAUUAGUAUUCAUAAUCUUUUAUAUGCUCAAUCACAAUCCCAAUUUAUCAGAUGUUGGACUAUUUGGGUGUCACAAACUUUCCUUAUUUAGAUGCUAACGUUCUUAUCAGCUUAAUUACACGCACAACCCAAAAUUGUUAGGUGAUGUGAAACUUGUCUCGCUUGCAUUAUUAUUCUGAUCGUGGCUUAGCCUGCAAUUCUAACCCUGGCUUUAGGCUCGAAAUUCAUUUCAAGCCGAGGUUGAGUAUUACUCGGCUCGUUCGAAUUAGGCUCGAAAAGCUCGAAAAGCUCGAAUAUAUAUAUAUAUAUAUAUAUAUAUAUAUAUAUAGGGUUUAGGGUUUAGGUAUUUAUAAAUAUAAAAUAUUUAUAAAUAUAAUGUAUUUUAAUUAUAUAUAGGCUUUAAUUUAAUUUGGGCCAUUAUUGUUGGCCCAUAAAAUAAACCCAACAAGUACAACCGUGCAAUGAGCUCAACUCUAAAUAUUACAUAAACCACUCUUCUUUUUAGAUUUUCACUGUUGCACAUAAUCCUAAAAACAUGAUAACAUGUCAAAUUCCAAUCCCUAAUUUUUUCUCCCGCCUCUCUCUCUCUCUCUUCUGCUCGCUUCUUCUCUCUUCUCUCUCUCUGUCUCUCUUCUUCUCAGACCCUCGACCCCAGUCAGGCAGUCACCCUUGCUCACAUUUCUUGCAAUUAUUUUGUAUUUUGAACUAUUGGACAUGUUGCAUCAAUUAUAGUAUGUUCUAUAAAAAUUAAUAUAUUGAUUAUAUUAAUGUCGAGAAUUUCAUCGGCUCGUUUAGAGCUCGAGCUCGGCUCGACUCGAAAUUAGCCGUCGUCGAGCUCGGCUCGAUCGAAUUAGGCUCGCUCGAGCUCGCGCUCGAAAUUAUUUACAAGCGAGCUUGGCUAGAUAUUUAGGCUCGAAAUUAAUUUCAAGCCGAAUUUGAGCUGACAUAAGCUCGCUCGAGCUCGGCUCGUUUCCACCCCUACCUGGCUUAACCGAGACACAUCUCGCACUUUCGAAUUGUGAUUGGUUCUGAUACCAAAUGUAACGAUCUAACCCGCUAGUAAUAAUAACUCGUUACACCCAAACAACCAGUCCAAAAUAUUUAAGCCCAGUUAUUAUUAUGUGUUCAUGGCCUUUUAUGUACCCAAUCACAACUACAUUUUAAUCUACAGAGUCUCUCCUAUAUUUACAACAAGUCUGUUCCAUCCCAUGGGCAAGGUUAUAUUUCAAAAACUAAUUGGAUAUUUUUCGCUGACUCUAUUUUCGAAUUAGUCUUUUUUCAAAAAGACUUUACAAAACGGGCCUUGAGGCAUAGGGGAAUAAACGAGCCGAACACUAGCGAGCUAGGGUCAGCUCGUGUUCGGCUCGUUUAUUAAUCGAGACGAACAUGAGCUGGCUCGUUAAGAUAUCGAGCCGAAAAAUUCAACUCAUAUUCGGCUCGUUUAUUAAUGAGCCGAACACGAGUUGGCUCACGAGCUGACCAACGAACAAUAAAUUAAAAAGGAUUAGAUUAAAUAUAUAUAUAAAAUAAAUUUAUAAAAUUUUAUCUAUUAAACUUUGAUCUAACAGUUGAAACUUUACAUAUAAAUAAGUCUUUUUAUAAUUAAACUCGCAUUUAUAUUUUUAUUUCGCUAAAAAUUAAAUAAUAAAAAUAUAUAUUAUUAUAAUUAUUAUAUAUAUAAAAGUAUAAAUUAAUAAAUUAUAAAAUAUAUAAAAUAUAUGUAUCGAGCUGUUAUCGAGCGCAAACACCGAGCGAGCUGACCCAGUGGUUCGGCUCGUUUAUUAAACAGACUGUGAGANNNNNNNNNNNNNNNNNNNNNNNNNAUAUUACACUAUGAUAAAAUCAUGUUAACAAUAAAUACAAUAAAUUUUAUCAAAUUGUAGGCAAAUUUCAGUUAAUAUAUAAUUAAUAACCAAAAGACGUAAAAUCUGUAACUGAUUGAAAGUUUGACUUACAAAACUAAACACAUUAAAAGUUGAAGAUAAAAGUAUCACAACUAAUAGUUAGAGGACGCAAAACUGUAAUUUUAUCUUCUCUUUUUCUUUUUGAGGUGUUAAUAUUGUGGGGAAUUGGCCUUUUGGUCUUCUUCUUGGAAAGAAAGGCCUAGCCUAUGGCGUGUCGCACUUCUGUAGAGGCGCAUCAAAUCUGCUAGAGAAAACGUCUUGAUUUGGGACGGCUUUUUGUAAAAACAUCUCCAACGUAACGGAUAUUCUCGAAUGAGUGAUUUAGGAUACACAUUCUAUCGUAUUCAUUGUUUAGGCCAUAAAUAGAUCAAACUCGAGAACAUAAUCAAAAAAUUAUUUUCUAGAUGGACUUCUUAAAUUCAGUUAUCUAUUAUAUUCCAGAAAUUAUCAUAUCCCUAUUUAUAAUUUAAUGCUCCGAAGCGAAGCACAAGCAUCCGAAAUCUCGAUAUCAAGAAGCGAUCUUGAAACAUCAAUAGAGGUGGUGGAUAGCACGUGGCCACAGGCUUCCGUGCUUCCGAUAAUAUGCCGUCAAUCCUAUAUAUAUAAAAAUAUAUAGAUAUAUAUAUAUAUAGAUAUUAAAUCACUGUAUAUUCUCUUUAUAUAUUGAACACUUUAAUAAGUACAAAAAUUAAUGCUUUAACGAUUUCAGUUAUAUAAUUACCUACUUAAUUACAUCCUAAAAAUCAGAAAAAUUCUAGUAUGCAAUGGAUAAUGUGGUGACGUACGCGCGACAAGUCAUCAAAUGUCCUUAGGUCAUCUCGUAAUCACUUACAGAAAAUAUGUAGUCAAAUGAUAUUAUUUUAUUUGUGGAUAACCUUUUUAUUUGUUUUUUUCUAACACUAAAAUGUAAGCAUUGAAUUUAAUUUUUAUUAAUAACCUGAUCAGUGGCUUAAGCGACUGCUAAUUCUAUGUGGGCAAAGUUGAUAAGUAUAACACGAAUGUCCUCUAAACACUGGACUUUAGCAUCAAACACAUGAAACCCAAUGACGUCAUCGCUCUAGCUACCAAGCACUGAGGCAAAUGGUUAGCAAUACAAUAAAAGGUCCGUGAAGUGGCUUCUCUCCGGCGGAUACGUCUAAGCACCCCAGUAUUUUUUGAGAGGUAAUAUUGUAAGAAAAUGUACGAGCCGAGGGGUUGACGAAGUGUCGGCGCCUUCGGCCGGAACUCACGAAAAGUCCGUGACGAGCGGAUCAGGAUGUUCGGUUGUUGCUUUGUUGGGACGGAUAGAUUGCAGGCCUCGAGAUAUAAGAUGCAUGGGUACAGCGAUCCGUGAGUGAUACUUACCACCCUUGUUUGAUGUUAUUUUUAUGACCUAAAAUUAAACAUUUUAAACUCAGAGUCUUGAACAACCAGAAAUCAACCUAUAGUGAUGUCUCUGACUAGUAACUCCAUUUUAUUAGAUUACGUUACGUGUGAGCUUUGAGUAUUGUACCGGUUUACAGGAGUAUAUCAAUUUAGUAUGUUGGCUUUCCUCGUUCGAAUUCAGGGUUUCUCACUUUGAGAUAAUAGCUGCUGGUUGAAAAAAGUCUGCCGAAUUAUUCAAUUAUAAGUAUCAUGUGUAUAAUUUCUAAUUUUUCACUGGAUGCAGUCUAUAACUCAUCUCUAUAUAAUAUUAUCGUUAAAUUAUACUACAAAAAACCCAAACCAGUAUAUCCUAUCUAUGUAAUGAUAUUUACCUACGAUCCUUUAGUUUUAAAUUUUGAUCAUUGAUGUUUUUUUCUUUCGUUAUACUCCCUCGUAAAUUAAUACAAACUUCAGAUACCUUCUCUGUCUAUUCGAAUACUUUACUUAGUCCCUUUUAAUUUGAACAUAUAUAUUGUGACUACUUGAGAUUACGAAAAAAUAGUGAGUUUAUGGGUUUAUAAUAAGAUAAAUAUAUAGAAUAAUAAAUAAUGAAACCACCAGAAAACUAUACAUAUUAAUACUAUUUUUAAACCAUAGAUAGGUACUAAUUAAAAGUGAGAUGUAAUUAGUCGAAAACCACAUAGAUACUUAUAUCAAUCUAUUAAAACCAAUAUAACGUGACAUAUGUAGUAGAAUUAUAAAAUUGUUGAAAGACGCCCAUUCCAUUGGGUUAUUUGAAAUUUUAUCCUUUUGUUAUUGUUAAAUAUUUUAGAUAUUAUCUAUGCGCCAUGUGGUUUCAUCCCAAUAAAAUAUUAACCCAACAAUAUCCAUUAGUCGCUUCACUUUAAGUACGCGUUGAUUUAUAAGUGUAUCAUUAUAUCAGUGUGUUCAUUUUCUCGCUUUCCAUCAGCCGCAAGUUGAUGCUGCAAACUCUAAAUUUACCGUAUAUAAUAAACUUCGUAAAUAAUAUAGAAAAACUUUCAAAUACCACAUUAAUUUAUCGAGUUCAAAUUUAGUACUUUUAUGUUUUUAAACUUGUCACUGGAUUUAACCAAAAAAAUUAAAGAAAUUAUGAAAAGAGAAAAUAAAAUCACGGCUCGUACUUUAAAUGAUACGCGUCUUAUUAGACUUAAUUCCAGCAGGUAUUUUAAAAAAAAAGUAUGCAAAACAUAGGAACACUUAUAUUAAAUUUUCCCUUAUAAUUAUAAAAUAGUAAUAGUUUCAUCUGAGAUUUCUUAACUGUCCCCAGCAACUUAAUUCCUAGAGUAUAUGAUCCUGGAUUUAGUUCUUCCAUACGACUAAAAAUAUUCUAAAGAAUCUGGCAAUUCCUAUCUGAUGCCAAUGCCCUUGACGCGAUCAAAAAUAUCUUUUUAUUUAUAGAUUGCGCAAAAGGUUUGAGCUAAGGGUUUCGUUUGGGUAUUAUUAAUCAAUUUUUAUUUUUUAAAUAUUAUUUUUAUAUAAAAUAAUUGUGAAAUGAAUUAAAUUGUGCUCGCCAUUCCUUUACAUCCAAGUACAGUUCUAUUUGGUCCAAUAAUAAAAAAAUUUAAAUUUUUUUUGGCUUUUGUAUAUUGUUAAAUGAAAUAUAUUACAUUUCAUAGAACGUAUCUUAUCGUACAAAAAUCACAUGCAAAAAAAAUAUUCACAUCUGAUUUUACAUAAUCAUUACUUGAAAAAAUAUUUUAAAUUAAAAGAGCAUAUAAGCUCAUAACGUCUCCUUAUUUCUCUUUUUCGUAUCUUUUGGACUCUCUAUAGAAACAACCAAAAUUCCGUAGGAAAUUUCAUCUAAUCAAUAAUAAUAAUAAUAAUAAUAAUAAUAAUAAAUUAUUUUAAUUUUAUAUAUACCAGAAACAGGCGGAUUGAAAAUACAAACAGUAGUGUAGGGACGAGGUGAUCCAGUCAGCGGAAGAGCGCGAGCAACGUCACGGGCUAAUGAAUCGCGCGCUCACCGGACAAAUACCGAAGUGCGUGCUCUCGUGCUCUAAUGGUCUCUACGUGCUCAUUGGCUUCUGAACUAUGACAUUGGAAAAUUAGAAGAGCAAUAAAAGAACAUGAUGAGCAAAAAUAUUUAUAAUAUAACAUGAUUUUUUUGACUCAGUUUUUGAUAAAAAUCGGAGAUCGUAAUUGUAAAAACAAAAAAAGAAUGGUCUAUUAGAACUUCGUAGCUAAAAAAGUUCAAUACUUAUAUUAUGAAUUUUUAUAUGGACAAAAUUAUCUUCUUAAAUAAAUAAAUAUACUGAAUAGAUUAAUAUCACGUAUGAAAGAGUUUUUAUUAUAGUUCAAUUCACAAAGAGCAUGAAAAUAUCGAUUGUUCGCGGGGGACGCUGGCUGCUCCACAGGGAGCAAAAUAAGCCGUUCCUUACUCACUGCUUACGCAAACUGCGCGAACCUAAUCUAGUGCACUGUAAUGGAUCAUCUCGACCGUAAAUAAACCCUAUACACUCAAGAGGAGGGCGUUUGUUUGUAUGCUACCAAGUUCGACUCAUAUUAAUACGACUAUUGUUUACGCAAAUUAAGCCGCGUAGAUCUCCUCUUCGUUCCGAAUCCGUUGCCUCUCUUCCGUCUAUUGCUAAAGAGCCAAUCAACGACUCGCCUCAAAAAAUAUAUAAUAAUAUAAUAUUAGGACAUAAUAGAAUUAAAUUAUAUCUAUAGACGAUGACCGUAUAGAAUGUAAGAGGGGGAGAGGAGAGCUAGAGAGAAGAGAGUAGUAGGAGGCAGAGGGACGUAGGGAGACGAAAAUAUAUGUUCAUGAAGAGUGGGGCGGGGCGUGCAAACAUAAUGAGAUCUGACCAUCAUCGCAGUCCGCCGGGCCAUCGGGCCCACGGCAUCUGGCGGAGGUGGGAAGUCUUCGCGGGUUGCAGGAUAUGUGUCAGCGCGGCAGGGGACGUGAGGGCGCUGAGCCAAGGACGAGGUAGGCAGUGUAUGAUACGCGAGACAGACGGCAAGAGCGCAGAGCAUGGGGAAUUCGGCGUCCUGACCAUCGCUUCGCACUGCGCCGGCGCCGGCGCCGAGCCGGGCGCCGCAGCUCCCGCCGCGACCAGCCGCCCGACUGCCUUGAUCAUUCGGCUCCCAUUUUCCGACUGCGGAAUCGUCGACGACCUCGCGCUUCGCAUGAUUUCCGAAUGAGUGUGACUUGGAUUCUGAUACCGAGAGAGAUGCGAGCGAGAGACGUCCAACGACCAGCAUAGAGUAGUGAAUAUACAAAUUCAUUAAAGUAAUAACACCUCGUUACACUUUCUUUUUUCUUCUUUUUCUUUUCCUUUUCUUAAUUCAUCAACUCAUCCAGAUGUCAUGUCCAAAAUAAAUACAGCAUAUAAAAUCAUAAUUUGACUAUAAUUAUAAAGCCAGUUAUUAUAUUUUUUAUGUUUAGUCAUAUUAGUCCUUUAUUGUGUUUAUAACUACUUUCUUGUUACGCAUUCAUAAAACAAUCUGAAAGAAUAGACAACAAUUUUUAACAUCUGGAUCAUAGGUAUUCGUUUUUUUCACACUAUAUUUCUAAACCAAGUCCUAGCUCAUUGUUCCCCAUGGGCAAGUGAUACAAAUUUCUUUAUCUUCAAUUAUCUGAUCAAUCUAACUGACAUAUAUUUGCGCAUAGAACUGGUUAUCGGAGGAUUUCAGCUUGACGUCACUAAGAACAUUAUUUCUCCGUCGUGCCAACGAGAGAUAUAAGGAAUCUUUUUUUUCAAAAAGACUUUAUCAAGAAUUCCUGAAUAAUUCAGACUGUGAAUGCUAGUUAAGAGGACAUGUAAGAUAGCGGCGACGAUAUCAUCUGAAGCUUUCAGGCCAUAGGUCAGCUCCGUAAAAAGUUAGUGUCCGAAGAAAACUAUUCGGAUAAAAUUUUUAUGAAACAUACACGUUUCUUUUAAUCUCAAAUUUCAAAUAUUCGAUCUCUGAGCAGAAAAGCAAAAACUACUCUAUUUCUAGGGACCGAUGACUGGACCGAAGGCAGAUAAUCUAAGAUUCAUCUCAGAGGCUCAGAAAAGAAAUUCAACUCAUGUUUUUCUGGACUCGUUUAUUAAUGAGCCGAACACGAGUUGGCUCACGAGCUGACCAACGAACAAUAAAUUAAAAAGGAUUAGAUUAAAUAUAUAUAUAAAAUAAAUUUAUAAAAUUUUAUACAUUAGACUUUGAUCUAUUUGAAACUUUACAUAUAAAUGAGUCUUUUUAUAAUUAAGCUCGUAUUUAUAUUUUUAUUUUGCUAAAAAUAAAUAAUAAAAUUAUAUAUUAUAUAUAUUAUUUAUUUAUAUAUAAAAAUAUAAAUUAAAUAAAUUAUAUAAAAUAUAAAUAUAUGUAUUCGAGCUGUUAUCGAGCGAACACCGAGCGAGCUGACCCAGUUCGUGUUCGCUCGUUAUUAAACAGCUGGAGAAUCUGACCCCAGCUCGUGUUCGGCUCGUUUACUAAACGAGCGAGCCGAUCUCGAGUUCAUUUCGAACCGAACACGAGCUGGCUCGCGAACAGCGAGCUGGAUUGCCACCCCUAUUGAGGCAUGACACUUUUUUGUUUUUUGUAAUUGCCUGUGAAAACACACAUAACUGUAAUAACCAAAUAGUGAACCAAAUACUUUAGAAAUCUUGUGUACUAAGACUAGGGGUGUAAUGUGGGCCGAGUUGGCCCCAUUCAGCCGGGCCAAAACGGGCCGGAGGCUAGCCCGACACGGCCUAGCCCCAAAUUUCUUGGACCCUUGGCCCAGCACGGCUCCUCGGCGAAGACGGGGCCGGGCUUCGGGCCAACUUUUUUUAUUUAUUAAUUUAUUUAAAAUAUAUAAUUUUUUUUAAAAAAAUAAAAAUAAAAAUAAUAUUUUUAAACAAUAAUAUAUUAGUGAGUAUGUUCCAAAUUUUUUUCAAAAAAUAUUUAUAAAAUAAUAAAUUUUUAAAAAAUUUUAAAUAUUUUGGACCAAAAUACCCUCCCCAACUGUCAAAUAUUUGACUGCUGGGGAGGGCAUCUUUGUCCAAAGAGGACCAAAAUACCCAACUCGCAUGGAAGGCGGGCCAGUUCUGUGGGCUGGUUGGCAGACCUUGCACCCAGCUUCCAAGGGCCGGACCGGCGGCAGUUGGGAGAGUACAAACAUAAAGCUGGAAUGAGAAUUUUGUACGAAAUACAGAGUUGCAAUUCUAAAAAUUUUAUUUUGCUUUUUAUGCGGCUUCGUUCGGAACUGUGGGGAUUGCAUUACGUAUAAUAAAAAAGUGUGAUGAAAAAAUAUUUUUUUUUCCGUACGUAAUAUUGUGUUUCGCAUAACGCGAUGAGUCGGUUACAACGUAUUUUCUACGUUCUCACCGGAAAACGCAGAAACAUAUCUUUACAUAUUUUUAUCCCAACUUCAUUUUAUUUAAUAGCGUCGGAUGGGCCUCAAUACCAAACUAAACCUCAUUUGCCCUUAAAUUAGAGGCAAAAUAAGUUUUUUUUUCUUUUUUUUUUUUACUUUUUGCUUUUUAAAUAUAUCCUUCUACUGUUAUUAACUUUUCUUAUUUAUCCUUAAGUUUGGAACAAAAUAGAUAUUUUGACUUUUUUAAAUUCUGAUAGAAAUUUAAUCCGGAGAGAUAAAAUUAACGCAUAUUAACAGCAGGAUUAUUUUUUAAUAAUAAAAAGAAAAUAUACGAGUGGUAUAUUUAAAACAAAAAGAAGAAUUGAAAUAUACGAAAUAUUUCAGAAGUUUUAAGGGAUACACUAGAUAUCAUCCCUAAAAGGUUCCUUUAAAUAUCCUUAUUUCCCCAAGGAUGUUACUUUGUGGAUUGGAUUUUUUGAAUAGGGAUUUUAGUAAUUUUAUAAUAAAAUUUAAAAAUUUUGAAUAGUAAUGAGGAUAAAUAAGCAAAAUCCCCCUUGAUGUUUGAUAUUCAACAGUAACUAAAAGUGUAAAUUGAAAAAUGUCCUAAAAAUUAUUAUUUUUGUCAAAUCAAACUUAGCAUUAAUUUAAAGCUAAUCACCCACCAACCAAUUCCGUGUUCAAAAGUCGCCAACGCACGUUGCACCUUUUUGAAUGGAUAAAAAUUAAUACACAUACACAAUACGAUAAUACCAGUUCAGCUGGGUCAAAAAUGUAUGGAGAUCCCCUCAAUACACGCUAUUUUGAAAUAGGUCCUUGAUUAAAAGUAUUUAAACUUUAUUUCUUUCCACUUCAUUUAAUUUAAUUUGAGUAAUUUAACUUACGUUGAAGUUAAAACUUUAGUUAAAUCAAAUAAACCGUGAUUCCGUAGAAUUCAACUGCUCUAACUUAUUUGUGUUUGGGAAAGGUGUAGAUUUCAUUAAUUAAUCAAUCAUUUGUAAAAGGGAAAACUUCAAAAAAAAACCCGUGGUUUCGUCGUUUCUUACUUUGCUCCCCUAUGGUUUAAAAUGUAUCAAUUUGCCCCUCUGUGGUUUCUUUUUUCUCUUUUUUUUAUCAAUUUCAUUAUUUUUUUUCUUAAAUCAGUGAUAAAGUUAAAAUUAAAGGAUACUAAAGUGAAUAUUUGAUAAAUCUAAAUGGGUAUCUGAAGUUUUUUGUAUAUAAUUUAAUGAAAUAUUAACGAAAAAGCUACCGAAAAGAUAAAAACGAAACCACAGGGGGCAAUUGGAUACUUUUUAAACCACAGGGGGGCAAAGUGAGAAACUAUGAAACCACAGGGGGGGUUUUGAAGUUUUCUCUUAAAAACUCUCAAUUCAAUUGAGCAAAAUAACUCACAUUAGAAUAACUAAAACCCAUGAAUUUUAAUUCAAAAAAAAGAAAAAGAAAUUCAGGAGAUCUAUUUUUGCAAUAACUUGUUUCUCUAGACAAAUUGCAGUAAAUAUAAAUAUUAAAAGUAUUGUUCCUUAACAAAUUAAGCUUUUAUAAACAAAUAAUUAUUUCGCAUAAUUUAAUAUAGUAUCAAAAGAGAAAGUCCUAGAUUCGAGAAAAUUUACGUCUUAAGCCUAUCAAAAAGUUUCGAGUCUAAAUAUAAGACAGAGUGUUAAGUACAAAUAUUGAAAAUGCUGUUCUCUAGCAGCUUAAGGUCUAGAGAAUAACGAUUGUUCCUCAGCGUUGAAGGAUUGGAGGCCCUCUUCGAACCCACGGAUGACAUGCGAGACCUCUGGUCAAGAUAUUGAUCGAGUUAAACAACACCAAAAAGAGACUUUCCUUCCCGUCUCUUCUUUCAGCCAUUUGGUGGGUAGUUUGGACGGAGCCGAACGACAUUAUCUUUCGGCAGACGCUCCCCAAUCCUACUCAAAGUUUGGAUCGAGUUUUACUCCUGUCGGCUAUCUGGAACGCACCUCUUUGAUUUUAUUUAGCUUUCUCUUUCCUUUAUUUUGACUCCUGACUCUCCUAAAUUUUCUGCUCCCUUCUACUCUAUAUUUUCCUCGGAAGCCCCGGCUGCGUCCAUUUUGUAAGCUAAGUUCAUCUUCCUAAUGAAUGAAGCGGGUAGCUCGCUACCUAUUUCUCAAAAAAAAAAAAUAAUAACACUUCUGACCAUAAUUUUAUUGCUUUCAUAUUUGAAAAAACCUACACACUAUCUCAAUAUUUGUAUGAUUUGUCGUCUUACGUGCUAUCCUAAUAGUUUCACAUUGGAUGAAAAUAAGAUUGUGAAUUAGAUAUAUAAGAAACUAUGAACUCUAAUAAUAAUAAAUGUAAUUAACCAUUUUGGGACAGUGGUUUAAACCUAACGAGUUUUUAUUGAUAAUAAAUGUAAAAACUCUCAAUUCAAUUGAGCAAAAUAACUCACAUUAAAAUAACUAAAACCCAUGAAUUUUAAUUCAAAAAAAGAAAAAGAAAUUCAGGAGAUCUAUUUUUGCAAUAACUUGUUUCUCUAGACAAAUUGCAGUAAAUAUAAAUAUUAAAAGUAUUAUUCCUUAACAAAGUAAGCUUUUAUAAAAAAAAUAAUCAUUUUGCAUAAUUUAAUAUAGUAUCAGAAGAGAAAUCCUAGGUGCGAGAAAAUUUACGUCUUAAGCCUAUCAAAAAGUCUCGAGUCUAGAUAUAAGAGAGAGUAUUAAAUAUAAAUAUUGAAAAUACUAUUCUCUAGCAGCUUAAGGUUUAGAGGAUAACAAUUGUUUCACAUAAUUUAAUUAAUACUUCUGACCAUAAUUUUAUUACUUUCAUAUUCAAAAAAACCUAUACAAUAUCUCAAUAUUUGUAUGAUUUGUCGCCUUACAUGCUAUCCUAAUAGUUUCACAUUGGAUGAAAAUAAGAUUAUAAUUAGAUAUAUACCAUACUAUGAACUCUAGUAAUAAUAAAUGUGCUUAACCAUUUUGGGACAGUGGUUUAGGCCCCACGAGUUAUUAUUACUAGAAGGUCGGGUCGUUAUGCUUGGUACCAGAAUCGGUUCACCAGCCGAAAGUAUGAAAUGGACCUCACAUCACCAGAUGAUCUUAGACUGACGAAGGCAUAAGUGUCUUAAAACAAAGAGAUAGGACCAGUUAUAUGUCUCAUGAGUGCUGGUUGGUAUGAUGCUGUUGCUUCUCCUUCAAAGAAAAGUCUAAACACAAACUCUCUCCGAAUUCAAUCUCCUUUAUUCUAGUAGGAUUUCUUGAUCAUGUUGAUGCAUCUUCACCUAAUUAUAAGAAACAAUUUUAAACUCUUCACUAUUAGGGCUUGUUUGGUUCAAGGGUGGAAUUGGAAUGGAUAAUGGAAUGGAAAUGAAUUGGAAUGGUAAUUGGAAUGGCCCACUCCCUCAAGACGUUUGGUUUAUUUGUGGAUGGGAAAUUGGAAUGAGUUAUUCAUAUUUCAUUAUUUGGUUCGUAUAAAUUAAAAAAAUUAUAGGAUACUAUAAUACUAAUUUUACUCUUAAAUAUAUAUUUAUAUUAUUUAAAAUUUAUGAAAAAUAUAAUACUAUUCUCUAAUAAGUUUUUCAAAAAAAUAUCAAAUUUAUUUUUAAAAACUUUUAUUGAUGUGGAUUAGGGAUAGGGUNGGUUUUGAGAGAGGAUAGAUUUUUUUUUUUUUUUUUUGAUGAGAAAGGGGUGAAGAGAAGGAGGGUGAGAUGGUUACAUGGGCUUCGAAAACUUAGUGAGCUUCCAGAAUGAAAUCUCAAUCCGGGCUAGAAGACCGGAAUCAAGUUGAAGGCUAAUGGGCCAUUCCCAUUCUGGGUCCGGAAUAGAAAUCCCAAACCGAUUCAUGUGAACCAAAUAAAAUUAACCGGAUUUGAUCAAACCGAUUCCCAUUCCAUACCCAAAAUCGAUGAACCAAACAAGCCCUUAAAGUAUCCUGAUUACUAAACAUAUGCACUAUAAAAGUUUUCUUUUCUACUUGAGAUGGAACUGGCCAUUUAGGGGUUAUAUGGCGCAGAUAAAUUUUAACUACUAGUUUCUAUAAGGUUGAACUACGGAAAAUUUUCAUAUAAAUAUCUAUUUUUUUGACUUUUGCUUAUUGACUUUGAAAGAUCUAUAUUUUGCUCCUUUAAAAUUUUAAAAUUAUUUUCAGAGAAUACGGUAUUAAUGGAGAGGGUAAAGUGAUAGAAUUAUCUUUAUUUCUCCUAUAAAAAAAUAUAUAUAUAUUUUUAGCAUUUUGAAGGGUAUUUUUGGUAUAAAUUAUAAGGAAUUGAUAAAAUAGUGAGACGGAAGAGAGACUAAAUGCAAUAAUUUAAAAUAUUGAGAAGAUAAAAUAUAAAUUUUUUAAAUUAUUGAAAAAAUUNUGUGUUCUCCUCCAUCUGUAAAUGAUGUAUAAUCAACUAGACAUUUAUAGAUGAAAAUUUGCUGCGUGGACGAGCCAUGCUGGAAAGAUGACAGGGUCGAUGUAGGUGAUUUGUUGGUUAUAUAGGUGAGGAUUUGUUGGUAAUAUAUGUGAAUCUAGAGGUGUCACAAGUAGCUUGUCUUUUACAUAUUUCCUUACCGUGAAGUAUCCCUGAAUAGUGCAUGUUGAGAACAAGAAUUUUGAGAAAUAUAACAUCAAAGUAGAUCUAUUGGUGGUUGUUUUCGUUGCCAAAGCAAUGCAUAAUCCAUCCAUAGUGCAUGUAUCAACAAUGGUAGCAACUGGUCACAUGGGUUCUGAACCUCCAGGCGCAAUCUGCCCCCCCUAGCAAUUCAGAAUUUAAUUAUAACCAUUUGUUUAUCGUUCGCAGAUGCUAAAGUUAACGGGCCUUUUGUGUGUUAUUUUGCGUCAGUUUAAAAGGAGCUGCAAGAUUUUAACUUGACGAUGAUAAAAGGUUAGGGAAUAUAUAUAUAUAUAUAUAUAUAUAUAUAUAUAUAUAUAUAUAUAUAUAUACCUCUUUAAAAUUUGUAAAUAACAUCUCCUUAAUUAGAACAUAAAAGAAUCAAUUUUAAGCUGAUAGUAUACGGAUAGUCACUAUCCAAAUCUGCUCAAAUGGGCCGAUGAGUAUAUUUGUAACUUAAAUAUCCAAAUUCGGAGCGAAUCUGAAGUUAAAUGAGUAUGGUAUAUAUUUUUUUUCUAUUUAUUUCUUUUAGGGUAAGGAUAUAUAAUAUAUUAAUUAUUCAGAUCCGAUCCGGUCAACGGACACCUUUACAUAAAUGUAGUAAAAGAUUAAAAAUACUAAUACACAACAACUAUAAGAUUAAGGACUCAAUUGGAAUUUUUUUAAAAAAUUAAGAAUCUAACUGCAAUAAUGGGAAUGUGACUCAUUCAAUUGAAGCGAGUAAAAUUUGCCCUUUUUCCUCUUCUGCAUCUUGCCAUUCCCGUGUCAUUCCGUUCGGUGUUUGGUAUUUUUGUGCGGCUGUCUGCCCGCCCGCCGAAGGAGAAGAGAAAGAAGACAAACAAGGAGGGAUUCGCCGGCAGUUGCAGACUGCAGUUGAGCCGUCCGUCCGCUCCCAAAACUCCACCAACCGCAAUAACAGACUGGAAAAAAAAAAAAAAGCAACAUCUUCAACUUUUGCUGCCUCUCUUUGUCUCAUUCCCCCUUUCUCUCAAACAUUUAAUACCUCAAAGGGGUAAUCUCCUCUCUCUCUCUCUCUCUCUCUCUCUCUCUCUCUCUCUCCUUUUCUUGACCUAUCUGUCUGUCUGCUCUUCUGGAACUCCAGAAUUCCUGCUCCAGGAUUUCUGCUCUGUCAGUAUUCCAUCUUGUCUCCAUUCCACCAUCCCCUUUCUCUAAUGUUGGCUUACUUUUCCUUUUUUUUUUUCUUUUCAAAUUUGCAGUGGAGGAGGAGGAGGAGAAGGAGAAAGGGCUGUGUUCUGAAGCCAUUAAACCUCUUAGGUGGAAUGAAUUUCCUUUUUUUUUUUUUUUUUUUUCCUGCUUAAAGGAUUCUUUUCUUGAUGCUGCCUACUUUGCUAUAACUUUUUUGUUUAAUUUGAUCCACUAUUUUUGUUUGGUCUCUGAUUUAGGACAUCUACCAGUAGUUAUAUCUAUACCAAAUAUCAGAACAUUAUUUGAUUUUUCUGCAACAGUCAGGGAACAUGAAUUAUUACCUGAGAAAGGGAUUUCUGUUUCUCUGUCAAAUGUAGGACAUAGAGAACUCAGUCUUAAAGGGUGCGGAUUGACACUUUCGAAGCCUGUCGAGUCGAGCCGUGAAAUUGCAAACCUGGAAAGUUUUGUUCGAUUGCCAACCCUAGAGACCUAGAUGGGGAUUGUUGGGAUCUCAAUCAACUUCAUUGCGUAGUCAAAAGGGAUUUCCCUAAUGGAAAAAUUCUAAUUUGUGUCGGACUUGGAGAGCCGAUCCUUGAGGUUCUCAUAAGUAAGGCAGUCUCUUGUUUGGCUGUUUGUAUUGUUGACUUAAAGGGGCCAGCAUUCUGACCUGUGGUGGGAGGCCAGGUUGGAUCGAGUCAUGUUCGAAAUGGUGGGAGAUUGGGUUGGGACGAGUCAUGUUUGAAACGGUCGGAGACUGCACAGUCAAGACCCAUGAGCGUUGUCUGUACGCUUUAAAUGAAUUGGUUGCAUCUUUUUAACAGUUCGAGUUUUUGGAAUUAAUGGUUAGCGCCAAUGAUCGGACAAUUAUAAUGGUAGAUGACCUCUUGGAGAAGAGAGUUUGGUGAGUGUUUUGUGGAGGAGAGACACUUAUAAAGGACAGAUAGAAUAGGUUUUUUUAGGAUCUUUCGACAGUUGAAUACUACCAAAAUCAAUUUGUUUUCCUCGUGUAUUCUUAUAUUUUUUUAGAUUUAUCUAGCACAUAUGAUCAUGCAUCUUUGUCUCUUAAGUUUGAUUCGGUCAAUAGCAGGGGUUAAAAUACAUGAUAUUUUUUACUUACAUGAUCUCCAUAUCUUAUACUAUAAUUGCAUGUUCGUUGCUAUUUUAUCAUCAGUUCUUUAAAUGCUUUUGCUCUUUUUUUUCCUCAGCAACUGUUCUUAAUUUUCGCUAAUAGUAGAAGUUUAUGCAACAGCUCUCAUCUUCCUAAUUGGUUCUAAUUGGUUACUGUCGUUUGAACUUUUUCAACCUUUUAGUAGGAGACAAUGCCGGAUAUGCAGUUGGCUAGUCUCACGAUAAAAUCACAUGGAGCCAGAGUAGCCAGACUCCACAUGUAUGACUGGAUCAUACUUGUACUUCUUGCUAUAACAGAUGGACUAUUAAAUAUAAUAGAGCCUUUUCACCGUUUUGUCGGAAAAGACAUGAUGACCGACCUGAGAUACCCAAUGAAGAGCAAUACAGUGCCAUUUUGGGCUGUUCCGGUGUGUGCUUUCGCUCCUCUUUCAUGUAAUCUACUAAUGAGACAAGAAGUUUCUUUUUCAGUUUAUGCUUGUUUUGUGUACUUUGACUUCAAUAUAUUUGUGUUUCUGCAGAUCAUUGGAAUUGUGUUGCCCAUUGUUAUUAUUGUUGCAAUUUACUUCAAGAAGAGGAAUGUAUAUGAUUUGCAUCACGCUAUACUCGGUAUUGUGCAUAUGCUUCUUCUUUUUAUGGGCGUUUUUUCUUUUUUAAAUUUUUGAAAGAUGUGUGUUAGUUGAUGAUUAACUCUUAUAUGUGAACCAGGUCUUCUGUUUUCUGUUCUUAUAACUGCGGUCAUAACAGACGCAAUCAAGGAUGGUGUUGGUCGUCCACGACCAGAUUUCUUUUGGCGAUGUUUCCCUGACGGGAAGGAUGUGAGCACUCCCUUCUGUGUACUUGGAUCAUUAUUAAUUUCCUCUAUUCAUUAAUUCUUUUCAAUGAAUUAAAAUUUGGCGAUUUACGUUCAGGAGUAUGACAAUGUCACUACCAGUGUUAUAUGUCAUGGGGAGAAGAGUGUUAUCAGGGAAGGUCACAAGAGUUUUCCCAGUGGACAUUCUUCAUGUACGCAACAAAAUACCCAUCCGCUUAGUUUCAAAUUUGACCUGUUAAUUUUCAUGCAUUUUUGUUCCUACAAAUUGUUAGUAUAAUGUGCGCUACCACACUUGUUCCUAAAUAUGCUUGCGUUGUAUCAAAUCAUUCAUUUUUUCUGUGUACUUAUAGCAUCUUGCGGUUUGAAGAUUCUCUAAAAGCUAAAUGUGGAUUUAUUAAGUACUAGUUGCUAUGUAUUUCAGGCUCUACUACAUUGGCAGCAUUAUUUAUGUGCUAAAUAUAUCCAAGAUUCUAGCAUACGCCUAAAAUCCCUGCUUAUCUGUCAACCCACGCAAAAUGCAUCUAUUUUGGGGAGCAAAGAAACUACCUGUUGUAAAGGCGAAGUUGAAAAGUUCUCUGGUGCGAAAACUUUUGUGCUUUGCAAUGAUGCAGAGUUGAUACAAAAGCCAACCUGGUCGAAAAUUAUCAUCUUCUUUAUUUUCUCUAUGCACAUUCAUGUUGACAGCUGAGUCUUGAGAACAUGCUAUAGGGAUGGGAUGCUUCUUGAAGCCUUUAUUAGCACCGCAUGCUAUAUUUUGUUAUAGUGACACCAUAGAUAUGUAAUUUGCUUUUCGCUUGCUGCCUGUUGCAGGGUCUUUUGCUGGUCUAGGCUUCCUUUCAUGGUACCUAGCUGGGAAAAUCAUGGCCUUUGAUCGAAAAGGGCACGUCGCAAAACUCUGUAUUGUGUUUCUACCUCUGCUUGUUGCAUCUCUUGUCGCGGUUUCUCGAGUGGACGACUACUGGCACCAUUGGCAGGAUGUAUUUACUGGAGGUCUUCUAGGUUUGUUCUUAAGAUUGAUCUUCUCGAUGUUGUCAUACUUUUAACUCUUUUUUAUUUGCUAAUUCUUUAAUGUUUGAAAAUUGGUUGUAAGCCUUUAUUUCUUUAUUGCUGCAGGGCUUGUAGUUGCUUCAUUCUGUUAUCUGCAGUUCUUCGCAUCUCCUUUUGAUGUUGACAGUACGUUAAUAACUUCAGAUACUUUCUCAUGUUUAAUUUGACUUCAAACAAACCAUUUACUUGCAUGGCGAAAUUGUGUGAUCUGAAAUAUUCUUCAGAAGCGUAAUAAGCCGAAUCUUAGUCUGCAUGCAUGUCAUAGUGUUUAUAGGAAGCGUAUGCAAAGAGUUCUAGUUUCCACAGUAUUUAAGCGUAUGCAAAGAGUUCUGUUACUGCUGUUCGAUAAUCGACAUGCUAAAUUUGCGGACAAUAACUUCAACAGUUUUCAGCUUAAUUAUACGAUUUUGAGAGUACAUAGUGAAGAUAUUCCAAUAAUGCAUGAUACUUUGUAAACAUCAGAUGGUUGGUCGAAGGUGUUAGGAGAAGCAUUAAAACAAUACAAGAUGUUACGAUAGAUACCAUUGUCUAGUUUACGUGCUAUGGGCGAACUAACAGAUCAGAAAGGAUAGAUGAUGUUGUAGAGAUGAAGAUAAAAUAUACAGGGAAAACUAACUCGAAAGCAAUGCAUCGAGUAAAAGGCUGUUCACAGCUUUUGCUCAAUUUCUGAGAAUAUACAGUAAUUCUUGUAAUAGAACUUUUCGAAGCUGUCGUAGAGAUAAUCUUUCUUCGAUCACCAUUUGUUCUUUAUGUUGACAAUGCGUGUUACAUGAGUAUUUAUUAAGCGGAUUUCUCAAUCUCGUUGCUCUUAUGAAGAGAGUGAGAAGCUUGCUAACAAAGGAAAGAUGCCGCACUCUUGCAGGUUUCUGGCCUCACGCCUAUUUUCAGCAACUUGCAGAAACUCGUAAUGACAGCGAGCUCUCCGUUAUCACAAACCCCAACAAUAGGAGGCCUUCACAGUCCGGAGUCGUUUACGAUUCACCUGAACCUCACAUCGGGAUCGCCAUGAGAGACACGAGCCCGAUUCUAGACGCCAGCGAAGCCGGCAGGAGGCAAUGACUACAUGCUGCAAAUGAAGUCUACACUUGUAAACCAACACAAGCUUCCCGGAUACGAACACCGACUUUCUGCUUCUCCGUUAUUGUACUCGAUUCGCGUGGUUUCUUGCUAUGUAAUUUUUGUUAGUUUCAUUUGUAAUAUUUUUCGUAGUAGCGGUUGGUUUGCGAUAUCUGGGCCUUCGAUAGUUAUUAGGACAACAAUUGUUGUUGUUGCUGUAGUUGGUGAGAUUGUGAAGCAGAUAAAGAUUGUGGAUAUUUGUUGUGUUCAUAGUAAAAGGUUUGGGUUCUCUUUUUGUGGUUAUGUUGAGUAUGUUGCAUCUAGUUGUGCUUUAUUUGAUUAAGAAAUAACCUGUCAUAUUGAUUUUGAGGUUUGGUUCCUGGAGAUUGACCAAGUUAAUGCCGCAUGAUUUUGAAUUCGAAGCGGAUCAGGUGGUGUUGGGUUAUGUCUGACGUUAGGAAUGUCAAUGGGUACGGAUAUUUGAGAUUUUAUCCGAAUCCGAAUUCGAACAGAGAAGGUUUACCCGAUGUUAAAUAGAUGUGAUAGGAAACUGGAGCAUUAUCUGGAACUCAGCAAAUGCAUAAACUUGACAACCUGAAAUCAGAGGUUCUGAAACUAAGAAACCAGAGUCCUUGCAACCCGAAACCCAAAGGUCAAGAAACUUGAAUGACUCGAGACCUAACUACAACCCCGAAAUUUUUUUUAAAAAAAAACUUGAGACCCAACAACAAAUUAAAAUUUGAUGGAAAAUUUUGUUCCAAUUUGAUUUGUUUCGAACUUCCUUAGUAAUCAAGGUGUUCAUGCAUCAUUUGAAAUAGAUACAAAACUUAAAAGUUGGGAGCUCAACAAAUCAUAACUUGUCGGGGAGUUUCUGUUUCGCUGCCAUGUAUUAAUUUUAGUUCCAUUCAAUGAUUCGUUACAUUUUUUUAAAAUAAUAAAAUUCAAAAAAAUUUAAAGUUUUAGAGAAAAAUGAUUAUAACAAUUCAAAUAAUAUAACUGGUGUGCACGUGAUGACAAAUUGAGACUCUUUAAUGAGGCGUCGUUGGGGAGCUAACUACUCAAAGUUUUUUCGUUUGAAUAGGACAGAUUGUGGCCAAUAGUAAUUUCUUGCUUUGCCAUCUAAAAUUAAAAUUGCGUCUAUUAAAUUGAAUUUUAAUCUUUAAAAUAGGAGCUUUUUGCUUGUAUUCUUUAUUACAAUUUAAAAUUUUUUAAAUUUAUCCUUCAAAAUUCAAAAUACUCUUCUAAAAAACAAUUUCGUUAGUAAAUCUUUAAUAAGAGCAAUGGUAUAUUCUAAUGAAUUUUAUAAUCAAUAAGAAUAUUUUGGUUAAUCACGAUAAAAUAAAUAUAUUUUAUAGAUUUGAUGGACAUAUUGGAUAUCAUCUCUUUGAAAACAAGUAAAAAUGUAUAUAACUUAUAUGAACUAUGGAUCAUUUUGAUUUGGCUAUUUAAUUUUUCAAAAUAUUGAUUUUAUUAUCUAAUCUUUCAAUUUAUUUGAUUUCAGUUAGUCAACUGUAUUUUAACUUUGAGAUUUGAAUGUGUCGUUUAUCUUUGUAGGUUUAGUUAAUAUAUCUUAUAUAAUUCUUGUAAUUAUAAAUUUAUUAAAAUAAAUAAUUAGCUUAAAUUUUAAAAUCAAAGUGCUGUUUAGUGACUUAAAUCGAAUAAGUUGAAAGAUUAGAUAGUAAAAUUAAAAUUUCGAAAAGACAUCACAAGAUUUGGAAUAAUUCUAUGUAAGAGAUAUAAUAAGACUUAACCUCUUAACUCAGUUUAUAAUAUUUUGAAUGAUGACUAAGCCUAAAAGAUUAAAAAAAAAUUAAGCAACAUAGUUUAGAUAAAUUUUGCGCUUUUUCAUAUUAAAUCAAGAAUCGGAUGCAACUGUAUGCAAUCAUAGUGCAUUUGCCACUCCAACUGUUUUUUCAGCCUUUGUUUGAUUCGGACAUAAGUAAAACUUAUUUAUUCUAGAAAUAGAUACAAAUUCAGAUAUAAGUAAGAAUUAGACCAAUUUUACGUUUGGAUGAAAAUUGAAUUGUUCGUGGGAAUAAGAAAAAAAACAUAAGAAGAAUAAUGGGUAGUUAUAAAUAGAAAAUAAUAAUAUUAACCCUCUACUUAUAUUCGAAUUUGAAUUUCUAAAUUUUAUAUUUAUAUUUUAAAAUUCAAAAAUUUAACUUUUAAAUUUUAAAUUCCGAAAUCAAAUUUAAAAUUUGAAAUCUCAAAUUUUAAUUUUCAAGUUUUAAAUUUAAGAUCAAAUUUAAAUUUGAAAAAUAUAAAAUAUCAAAUUUAAAAUUACAAACUUUAAUUUUAAAAUUAUAAAUUAUAAAUUUUAAAUAUUUAAAAAUUAAUUUUUAUUUUUUAAAUUUUAAAUUUUAAAAAUAAAAAUUGGUCCCCUUGUAUUUUGUGUUUGGGGAAAGGGGUAGGGAUGCAAAUGGAUUUGGAUUGGUGAAGCGCCCGCCCCGAUCAUCUCGAAUACGGUGUUAAGUGAGAAAAAAAAAUAUAAAAAAACUAUAACUCUUUUCAAAUCCGCCAAGUAAAUAAAGCGAAAGGCAAGAAAUUUUUUUUUGUCUUCAAUCUUUCAAUCUAUUCUGAUCUAUUAAAAAUCUGUCAAAAAUUUGCUUUUAUUUUGAUUCUCUGUAAAUUGAGGUAAUAAGUGGAAGCAAAAAAUAAAAUAAAAAAUAACUCGCCCGAAUCCGUCCUAUCCUCAUAAAAAAUGGUGCGCGAGUUGGAAAACCUUUCCGCCUCGGGAUCCGCUCAAGUUUGCACCCCUUAUCCCCACCCUCGGGGUCUGAAGGAAUUCCCCCAACUUCUGGCUGCAGCAAGGAAUGGCUUCUGCAGUAGCAGUGGCAGUAACAGCAGCAGCUUCUCCGCUCCCCACCCCUCCCAACCCCCACUCCAAACCCACCACAAUUACCUCCUCUUCCCACUCCUUGCGACCUCCUCCUCCUUCUCCUCUCAAUCGACCCAAGAAGCAGAAGCAGCAGCAGAAGCAGAAGCCCUCAAUUGCGGAGAUCGAGAGGGCCAUCGGCGUCGGCAGUGACCCGACCUCAUCUUCUUCAUUGUCGUCAUCAUCUUCGUCGUCGUCGUCGUCCUUUAUGGAGUUCUUGGCGUCGACGCCGAUCGGGCAGGCCGAGAGCCCCGCCGAGCGGAAGCUCCGCGAGGCCGCCGAGUGGCUCGUCGACCGCACCGAGGCGCACGCUAGCAAUGGUAUGUAACUUCUUCUUCUUCUUCCUUUUUAACUUUUUAAUAUGGAUGAAGAAUCAUGGAUUUAAGGGAAAGGGAAAGAUUCUAUUUGUAAAGGCGAAUUUUAGGUUAAAUAGACUUUCCAGUGAACUGGAGUUCAAGUAGAAAAUUACUUUUCUUCUUCUGCUGUUUGUUUGUAUAGCCGUAGAACUGAAGUUUUUUCAGUUUCUUGUUUGUAUGGUAAAUGGAUUAAUAUAUUAAUAUUUUUUUCUCUUACUGUUUUUUUUUUUUUCGUAAUUGACUUCGGCCUGGGCAGGCUGAAGUCAAUUACGCUAUUUGUGGAGUUUGAGUUUCGACCGAAAGGUGAAGUUACGGCGAAUCGAACAAUGAAAAAUGAUCAUUUACGACCCAAAAUUACUUCGCUCGUCUCUACUUUCGGUAAAACAAGCACACCCUUAGUGUGUUUUCACUUUGCAAUUUCACGCAACAGCAGAGAUGCUAAUCAAAUAUUUCCAACUCGCUCACCGUUGAAAACUGGAUAUAGUAGGUCGGGGGCAACGUAAUAAAGGCGUUAACCCGAUAUUUGGCCGUCCAAUAUGAUCUGUUAGGAUUCUGCUUGGGAAGAAAUGAACUUUUCGAUUAUUUGUCGCGAUUCUGUUUUCGAAUUGCAUUCGCGCUUAUCAGGAAAGUCGGAUUAAGAUAGAUUCGAACUACUAAGGCUAUAAAUAUUGUGCAGAAAAACAUAGAAAGGACCUUGUUUUCUUCAACAUUCAGCCGAGAAUAGGGUAGCAGUAGUUUUCUAAUUUCAGUCGAACGUAGCAUUAGCAGUAGUCGAAGCCUUAGUUUUGGCACCUUCCUGUUAUUUUGGCUGUAGACUUCACCCUAAGACUUUGGCUGAAUUUUCGGGUCUCUGUAGUUUCUUCCCUUCGAGCUGAACGUCAACUGAGCCCAUCUGACCAAGUUCAGCCUGAGACAAGCGACCGAAUGUAACGUGCUUUAUUGAGAGGUCAACUCGCAACGGAGAAUCCAAACCGAAUUGCUUGUGGCUCCACCCAUUGAAAUUUUCUUUUGAACAAUAACGAGCCUUCUUUGUGUUCUUCUUGGCAAACAAAAAGGAUAUAAAAUAAAUAAUUCUCUUAACCAUUUCGCUGCUAAAACAAUUGUGUCUAAACCAAUCACUUCAGAUUCCAUUGCAUUCAUAGCUAUUAAGAUUUGUUUAGUGGAUAUCCAAGACUCAGCACUCCUCCUAGGAAAAAGACAAAGUUGGUUUUGCAAAUGUUAAUAGUGACUUCAGGUGUGACAUCCCAAAACGUGGGAAAGUGCGACGGGCUUAUAUGUGAGGAGUAUACUGACUGAUAACUCGGCUUAAGCAUUCUAUGCCGGUGGUUUAGGACCCAACAGGUUAUUAAUGCUAGCAGGCCGGGUUGUUACAAUUGGUAUCAGAGUCAAAUAGCUAGCUGGAAGUGUGAGAUGGAUCUCACAUUGCCUAGUAAAUAUUGAGCUAUAUGUGUGAUUGGGUCGGGCUUACGAGAACGUUAGAGCCUAAAGAGGGGCCACAUCGUAUAGUAUGGGAGAGUGUGAAGGGUUUUUAUGUGACAGGUAUACUAGAAUUAAUAGCUAAGCUUAAGCAUUUUGGCUGGUGAUUUAGGUCCCAACAAGUUAUUUGUGCAAGCGGUCCGAGUCGUUACAUCAGGAGAGUCAUAUAUGAUUACCAAUAGAUAACUAGACCCAGUCGGCUAAAAGUGAAAUGCAUGAAUAAUUGAUAUUUCUGUUCAAAGCUAUGAGCACUUGGUCGAUUACUUUUCCAAUGCUUUCAUCACAAUCUUGAGCCUGCUCAUCUGCAGGAACACCAGAAGUUCCUUGACAGUCAUACAUCUUAUAUGUGGGUUAUGAAACUCAAAUCUGGCGGGAAAAUUGAAACCAAUUCGUGGAUAGCAUAAAAUAACUUUUCCAUUUGAAAUGUUUAGCUCUUGCCACUCUUUCACUUUUUUGGGCUACAAAUGCACUUUGACCGUCAUAACAUUCAACUGAUACUUCACUCUUAAAAGAUAUAAAUUUAGUCUUAUCAACAUACCGUUGUCGGUCAUCAUGUGAAAAUACCGGUUAAAAAGGAUAAGUGCAAGAAAGAGAAAGUUGAAAUUUUAACAAUUUUUUGGGUAUUUUUUGAGAAUUUUUCUGAUAUAGCUAGAAAAAGCUUAAUUAGCGUAGGAUACUAAGUAGAAAUGGUGCGUACGCAAAUAAAUUAUCAAACAGUUACUAUGCAAAUAGUGAUUUGUAGGAAAGAAAGAUUUUUACAGGAGAGACCGUAUAUCGGCUACUCUGAAGAAGGGUGGCAAAAUACUCGUAAGAUUUUUCUGGAUUUUCUAGUAUUUUUUCUGUCUGGAAAUGUUGCUGUCGAAAAUUAGCGAAGUUACUAUGCACGAUAACUAUGCAUUCAGUGGCUUCACGUGGGAUUUUUUUUUUUAUUUUUUUAUUUUAUUUUAUUUUUUUUAACNUUUUUUUUUUUUUUUUAGCAGUGUCCAAUACAAGGACUAAAAGAAAAGAAGCAGCUAAAGUUGCAGAACUGAAAGAAAUAUUUACAAAAAUAUACAAAAUAUCAGAACCAGGUGGCUAAGCAUUUUCCCCUAAAUUGUCACAUUUGGGAGAAGAUGCUUCUAGUAUCGUAGGAUUUCCUUGUUUUUCUUCAGUGUUUCCUAUACUAGGGUGUGGUAAUGGUUCUGAAGAGGAUUCAAUUUUUCGGAAAGGUUUGGCAAUUGGCUGUGGAUAUCUUUUGAGGGAAGGCCUUUGUGGUGGAAAAGGUGCUGAGGAUAAAAAAGGUUUUACUGAGAUAGAGGGAUGGACUACUGGGAUUAGUGGGUUUUGAAAUGGAGUAUUUUGAAAUGGAGUAUUUAUGUCGGUCAUAGGAGGAAAGACCAAACUCGGUGUAGUUGUCAUUAUAGGAUGAUACUUUGGAGGAAGAUAAGAGGAAGAUUGAGGUAGAGAUACAAUACCUUGUUGUGAGGGAUGCUUGAGGUCUUUGACCUGCUGUUCCAGGAUAGCAAUUCUUUGGAUGUUUUUCUGAUCCUUUGUUCUCAAGUCAUCACAAAUAGUGUUCAGUUUUUGAAGCUGGGUUGCCAUUGUUGAGCAGUUUUCACAUAAACUAUUUUUCUCAGGAUUGUGGGUGGAUGUAGAGGCUUGAAAUGUGGAAAGGAACUUAUAUUGGGAGAGAAUAAAGAGGUUUGGACCAAAGUAGGAGAGAGCAGUGUCCAAGGGUUCAGAUAUAGAAAGAUAACUCUUGUAGAGAGGAAAAGAAAGCGCAUUUUCCUUUUUUUUUUUUUUUAAGAGUCCCAAUUUGGAUAGUUCCAAUUUGGAUUUAUAACAAAAGGAAAAUAUGGCUGCAAGUUAUAACAUAGGUGGUAACAUAAUAUUCGAGUAAGUUUAUAUUGAUAAUCUAAACUAUAGUCUUGAAGGUUAAGGUUGUCCAAAAUAUAUUGUUGACAAAUUUCUUCCCAGUCAUCAUUCUCUGUAAUUCCUUCAAGUAGAUAGCCAAAUAGUACUCUAAUGUCUCUAAUAAUACUAUUUUGAUCUAGUAAGUCAUAAUAUUGAAAGUUUAGCUCGUCUCGGAAAUAUUGCUGGUAAUAAUGUUCCCAAUCUUGUUCAGGGAGGUGACAUAUGCCAGAAAACCAAAGUUGCAAAUCAAACUUGUUUUGGAGUCUGUCUAUCCAUAAUUGUUUUUGCUGUGAGUUUUCUAGCCUUUUAUAAAGAGUCUGUCUGUUGUAUUCUUUGCAUGCUGCUGCUAAGGCUUUUUCUUCACCUAAAUGCUUAAAGCUAGAAAGGAUAAUGUGAAAAGGCAUAACAGCAAAUGGGUCUUCAAAUAACCUGUGUAUGUCUUGGAUUAUAUCAUCAAGAGUUUCUUCAGAAGGUUUAAGGAAAACAUCAGUGCAAAAAGGGCAAUAAUGCGGAUCCAUGUCUUUGUCUUUGUUUGAACCUGAAAUGUCUGGAUCAAGAUACAUUAUAUUAAUAUUAUUAUGUCUUUCAUAGAAUAGUCUCUUUUUAAAGAAAUAGUAGCCAGAUAUCAGAUAAAAUAUCAUCUAAAGGUUCCGUAAAUAGUCGCCAAAUGUCUAUGAGGAUGUUGUCUUGAAAACAUAAAUCACAGAGGAUUUGGCUAAAUUCAGAAAUUUUAAAAUCUUCAUUAAAAUCUUCAUUUUCCUCUGGAAUAGUUUCUAAAAGAUAAAACAUUCUUUGAGUCUGGAUAUGGGUCAUGUCUCUUUCGUCAUUGUCUUCUGUUUCCAAUGUGUCUUCUUCUAGUGGGUCGAACCACCAUAUGUCUAUUUCAUCUUGAGCUUCUAUGGUAUUAUAAAAGUCUGCAUAAGUGUCUUCAGGAGCCUGGAGACACAUUUUUGUAAGACCUUGUUCUUCUGAAAAAUAUAAAGUCAAAGGGGUUUAUUAGUAGGAGAACAGGGAGGCUGAUUUUUAGAUGUACUAGAAGUGUUAGGCGAUGUACUAGGAGUGUUAGGUGAUUUGGGUUCUGGUGAAGUUAAGUAUCGUGGAAUUUGUCUAUGGAAAGUCCAUGGUUGGACGACUUUCUUUGGAAGAGUAUCCUUUGAGUGAUCUUGCAAUUGGAGUGUAGAAAAAUGUUUUGUUACUUCUUGGACAAUAGGAGUUGUGUCUAUGGUAGGAACAAUGCUUUCAGUUUGUCUUUGUAAUACCAAUUUUUCUAAUGUAUGUAUUCUGUUAUGUAAUCCUAAUAAUAGUUGGAUAAUGGUAUUAUUUUGUUUAAUUAUAACUUGUUCAGAAAUGGCUUGUGGGAGAUGAGAUGAAAAGCCUAUAGAAGUUUUGUCAGGACUAUAAGAUUGUACUUUUGAUAAAGUCUUAUGUAAAAUUUCAGCUUCAAGGUGCUCAGGAUUGGUCAUCCUAGAGAAAUUUGUUUAAUUUCUGCUAACCUUUGAAGACUGGAAUGUAGAUCUUGUUCAAUUUUGAGUAGCUUUUGUUCUAUUCUUUGGGGUCUUGCUUCUAGCUGGUUUAGUCUAUAAUCAAUAUUAGAAAGUUUUUGUUCUAUUAAGGUGUUCUGGUUUUUAAUAUAAUCUAGGUUUCUUGAAAUUUUGUCAAGGAGUUCUGUCUGUGUCCUAAUUGUCUGAUCGAGUCUGAGGACCAGUUGUUGAAGAGUCCUUAAUGGAUCUAUUUUGAAUAUUUUUAUAAAAACCAAAGGUAAAAGUAUGAAAUUCUCCUGUGAGAUGAUAAAUAAUAAAAGGGUAAGGUAGAUUUAGAUUUGACAAAGUCUUAUCAUAUAGUGUUAGAAAUGCAAAUAAUAAAAGAGCUUUUUGUCUCUUUGUUUUUCUUUUGAUUCGAGCCGUGAUUGUAAAUUUAAAGAGAACAAGUAUGGUUUGGAGAAGAAUUUAUAAGUAAUUUAUUAAGUAAGUCUAUUUGAGAUUUAGUAUUCUUUUCAAUAACUACUAAAAUUUGUUGUAUGCUAAAAAGGACGAUUAAAAUGCUUAGAAGGAAAAGGGAUGGUACUAGCAUCAAAACCUUCGUGGAGGUGGAGGCGGUCGUAUGGAGAGGAUUUCUAAAAGAUGGGGGUAAUGUAUAAGUUCUUUGUCUAGAGUGUUUAUAAUACAAAAGAUUAGUUCCAGAAAUCUAUGCGUCUCUAUGUAAAAAGUUUUUAAAACACGAAAGUGUACUAAAGUGCCAAUAGGAUGAUUAGCAUAAACAGGAUUGUUAAUAGUAUUAAAGGUGAAAGCGUCUAUGUCAAAGGCGUCUUCGACUGUAAUUUCCAAAAAUCUUCUUCUUCCAAUAUGAACGAUAUUGUAUCUCCAGUUAAAUUGUCUUGGGCUUGUAGUAUUUUCACUAUAGUCUGAACUGUCUUCGUCACUAUUGUUAUUGUCUUCUGAUUGUCUUAAAUUUUCGUUGUCGUUGUCGUUAUUAUCGGCUUCGUAUUCCUCGUAGUCUGGCAAUAUUUCGUCUUUGUCUUGAUUAGCCAGUGUGUUAAUUAUUGUCUAAAGAUUUGAAAUACAAGAAAAGGGUCUAUUUCCCAAAGCUGAUAUAUAAGGUGUAUAAUGCUAAUUAAAAUAUGGAGUGGAACUCCUAAAGAUAAAGAAUUUAUAAUAAAAGUUUGUACCAAUCGUGCAUAAUUUCUACAAGCAUACUCAAAGAGUUUAGGCCAAACUUUCUACAAGCAUACUUAUAACUUGUAAGGUGUACGCACCAUUUCUUUCCUGUUAGGCCAAACUUGUACCGAGCUAUCAAAGUCUUUUGUAAGUUUGUUUAUAAUAAAUGCACGGUGAUUUUACAACUAAAUUUCAUGAUGGUCUAACAUUAAUAAGCUUGGUUCUUUUGGUUUCGGUUGCUAAUGAUUGUUUUACAGUAUGAAGAAUGUUCCGUAACAUCAAUUAUUCAACCUCUUUUAGUAUUCACUGCCAACUAUAAGUCUGAGCAUAACUAAAAACAAAAAGAAAAAAAAAGAAUACCUAUGAUUGACAACAUUGUCCAGUUCAUUUGAAAUGCCAUAUUUUAGUUCUGUAUUCUGUAUAACAUAUGCUUGUCGUUAGUAGUUUUUUUGUCUUCUGUUUUUUUUUUUCCUCAUGUUCUCCCACUAUACUAUAGAGAAUCUUUCUAUAUAAUUUAGCGACAUUAAAGAGCCCAACUGUACAUAUGACAAUUAGUCCAUCUAUCAUCUUCAGCACUGUUUUGAAAUGCAUGUCUUCUUCAUGUUAAUUUAAAAUUUCUUCCUACAAAUAUGUUGGCCAAUCCUUAAGUUUUACGAUGAAGUGCAUCUUUUGUUUUUUUUCACUUUUUGGCAUACAUCGCCUAUUGAUCCGUGAUCUCCUUUAGAAGACGUUCGGAUAUAAAAUAUUAGAGGAAGGAUGAGAGAAGAGACAUUGGCCAAAAUUAAACAUUUCCUUUUAAUUUUAUUAACUCUUCUUAACAAAAAAAUUCGAGGGUCCUACUUAUAUAAUUCCAAAAUCCUACUGCGUCUGGGAUGGAAUAGCAUCCAAACUCCUACUCCGAAUAAGAGCAAUCCAUACUUUCUUUUAUGGAAAGUUAAGUCCAACAAUAUCGUACCUGGAAAGAGCACAUCAAGAAUAUCAAAUUUGACUAUCAGGUGAAAUCCUAGUUCUCUACGGAUAAAAAGACAUUCACGGUCAGGUCAAAUUUUGACCGCAAUUUUGGGGACCUAAACUACCUCACAACACCCUGAAACACGUACGGAACUUGUAGUAUUGUGUACUAAGUUCCGUUGCCGGAGCCUGACUAGUUAUUCUCGAUCUGCACAUGUAGAAUAAAAAAUUGUCUUGAUCGGAGCCCGUAUGUGGAAAAUAUGCCUUUCGAACAAUGUUGAUGUCCUGACCCAAAUCAAACUUACCACCUAGAUCCUCCUGGAUCACCCAUUGUAGUUGUUCUUGGCACAACUUAUUGUCCUUUUUUUUUUUCUUUCUAUUGAAAAAAAACUUAUUGUUCUUUUUUCAUGAUAUAUAUAUAUAUAUAUAUAUAUGUAUUGCAGAUCAACAUAGUCACUUUAGUACUUGACAAAUAUACGAGCAAUUUGGCGCUUUGCUUAAAAGAAAUUUAAAUUUUAGCAGCACUUUGCAAGAAGUAUUUCUGACUAAUUGUUCAAGCUUAUAACAGAAAUUGUUUUCCUUACUCCGAAUCAGCUAGCUUCUUCACUUGCCUGUUUCAUUACAGCAUGUUACAGUUCAAGGUCACAGAGAACGCUGCAAUUGGUCGAUACAAUUUAAUGUAGUUUUCAUUUGAAAAAAUCGAUCAUAACCGAAUUCCUUAAGCUUCUAAGACUAGCAGGCACAGUUGUCUUAGUUUACAUUUCUACUCUUAAAGCUCAUUUAAGGGGAGGGUAACAUUUGCUUUACAGUGUAAAUGAUACGCAGAAUGUUCCAUAAUAUCAAUGCUGCGACCUUUCAAACUCUCAAUCUGACAACCAUAGAGUCUCAACCUAUGAAGAACAAGACUCUUUGUUAUUGACAUCAUUGUCUGGUUCAUCUGACUCGCCAGAUUGAGGUCUAGAUUGCCUAUAACUUGUAUGUUAUUAUCUUUUGUCUUCCUUAGGUUCUUUUUUGUGUGUACUGUAGACACUUCAUUGAUAUUUUAGUAAAAGUAUAGAGUCCAAUUGUACAUAUGAUCAUGUAGCGCAUCUAUCCUCUUCACUCUGUUUACUCCAGAUCAGCAAAUGUACAAUCGAUCUGGUGCUCUGCUUAGAAUUGAAAUCAAUUUAAAUUUUGAUAGCACUUGACAAGGAGAUUAUUUUUUUUUCAAUUUAUGUUUGCAAGUUUAAGCUGUAAAAGCGAAAGUUUGUUUUCCUCAUGCAUCACCCAGCUUGCUGUUACUGUUUCAGUACUAUGUUACAGUUCAAGGUCAUGUUGAACAAAGUUAACAUUUUGAGAAUCAGAAUAAGCCUUAAAAACAAGUCACCACCCUCAAUAAUCCCUCCAAAAAGUUGAGAAAAACGGUGAGUUAAAAAAAGAAGGAUAAGAAGAGCUAAUAUCAACUUUAUUUGCCUUUCAACAAUGCCCAUGUGAGUAGGCUUAAGCUUUUUUUUUACCUUACUUAUGGUUCAGUGAUGUUUAAAUCGAACAAAACUUAGUACUUUAUCUCAAUCGAUUACUAGUUUUCGUGUGUAUUUAUUCAAGGAUUCACAUCUUCUUGGUUAUUAGUUACUGAGAUACUAAAUACAAGUUAUUUUAAGUUAUUACUUUUUCCCUAAAUUCUUUGUACAGGGCAGCGAAUUCUCAUGAUGGUUUGUCUGAAGAUCUUACCUGUGUGGAUCCUGCUCCUCUUAGUUGCAUCUGGGGUUGUAAGGCUCCCAUUCCACGUCCCAUUUGUCGAUGACCUGCUCUCUUGAACCAUCAUCAUUAAGAGUUAAUUUUUCCUUUUCAUGCUGUUUUUUGAAUAAUUGUAACUUGUACAUACUACAAAGUCAUCUGGGAAUUAAAGUAGAUGUUCUCGGAACUGCGAAAUUUACUUCUUUCACACUUAUGUAUUACAAAUGGCUGUGAGGAGGAAGUUUUCCACAAUAUUUUGGUGGCCAUUUUAGAUUUUUUUUUUUUUUCUUUUGAAUGUGCCUCUCUUUAGUUUGGGGUUUCCGGGCUACUGGACCUACAAAAUUGUUUUGAUUAUGAAAAUGUGAAACAACUGUUAUACUUUAAAAGCUUAAGCUGUUAGAAAACGGUGUUUAUAUAUUGGGCUCAAGAUUUUUUUGCAAGGCCCAUGAUGUGGACUCGAAUUAAAUGGAAGAAAAUUAAUGCUAGGAGUCUGGCGUGACUUGAACUCAAAACCUCUUGCUCUGAUAUCAUGUGAAACAACUAUUAUACUCUAAAAGCUUAAGAUGUUAGAGAAAUGUGUUUAUACACUUUUAUAUUUAACAGAAAAAUAGGCAUCCAUAACUUUUAUUUGUAAAAGUAGACCUAUAAAAGUGGCGAAUAAUUUACCGCUUUUUAAAGACGGUAAAUUAUUCAUUAUUUUUAACUAACUUAUAUAUUUUUUGCAUCUAAACUCUAGAAAAUGUAUAGUAUUAAACAUUAAAAAUAAUUUUAAUGUUUUGAAAAAAGCGGUGAAGGAUUUAUCGCAUUUAGAAAGCGAAAAUUUAUUUACUACAUAUGCCUAGUUUUGCACAUAAAUUUUUUGGACAACUAUUUAUAAAAUUAUAAUAUUUUUUAAGUCUAUUAAUAAAAAAAAUUCCUUUAGUUCUCCAUACUUCUAGAGAUAGAAUUUUCAUACUUUUUUCUUGUUCAAAUAUUCAAAUUGUCGAGGGUGUUUUCUUACUAGAAAUUAUAUAUGCUUUAAGAAAGGUAAAAAUGUAUAAAAUUAAUCUCAAUUAUUAUUUAUUUUGAUCCGACUACCUAAUCAUUAAAAAUUUUAAUUUUUGCUAUCUAACCUCUUAAUUUAGUUGAUUUGAAUCAGUUCAUGACUUUUAGCUUUAAAAUUCGAAUGCAUCAUUUAUCUUUAUGAGUUUAAUUAAUAUAAUUUAUAUACUUCAUGUAACUAGAAAUUUAUUAAAGUAAGGAAUAAGCUUAAAUUUUGUAUAAGAAGAGUCAUUAAAUGAUUUAAAUUAAACAAAUAGAAUGGCAUAUCUCUUUAUCUUCUUAAUUAUUCUUUUAAUAUUUUUUAUUCAUGAUCUCGUAAUAAUAUAAAGACGGUUGAAAUCGUCUCUACAAAUUUUAACCUAUAGAGCUGAUUUGAACUGCCUCUAAAAACAUUAAUCUAUAGAGAUGGUUUGAACCUUAUCUACAAAUAUUAUUAUGCUAAAACAAAUAGGUAUUGGUGGUUUCAACCGCCUCUACCUUAAAAAUAUAGUAAAAAAUAUAUUAAUAUUUAUUUUGAUAUGCAUUUAUGAGCAGAAAUUUAUAAAUUUAUUGACAAUCAUAUUAUCUUAAAUAUUAACACAAAUUAAAUAUUUUAUUUCUCACCAAAAAAAUAAAGCAACAAAGAUAAUUUAGCAUUUAAUCAAAAAGAUAUACUAACAACACAAGAAGUAAAACAAUUUUCAACAAAAAGCAAACCAAUUUUUUAACAUGUAAUCCAAAACACAAUCUCAUUCAGCAUCUAUCCAACUGUAGCAACACAUUAAAUAAAAGAACGUUUAAAUAAUUUUAAAAAUAGCCAAUAGUUGAAUUUUCAAUAGUUUAUAAAAAUUUGAACAGUACAGUGAUUUCCUUCACUUGUAGACUCAUGACUUCCAUUUGAUGAUUGAUGGUUUGAAGAAAAUGCAUCAAUUAGAUUAAUAUUACCACCUACAAAAUUAUUAAUCAUACUAAAAUACAAAACUAUUCAAAUAUUUAUUAGUAAUAACUUGCUAUCAAAUUAGUAUACUUGAGAAUUGAGAAAUCUAUUUGAUAGUUGUUCUUUUAGGCUAUUCAUUGCCUCUUGCAUCCCUCUAAUGGUAGAAACUUCUGCAUUAAGUUCAUUCAUUUUAUUUUUCAUAUAUUCUAAUUCCCCCUUAAGCCUUUCUACCUUUUCUGAUUGGCCCCUACUUGGUUAGUCAUUGUAGGGAAGUUUAUAUGUUUCACACCAUAAUAUGAUCUUAGCACACGUUCCAAGCAUAAGCCUUUCACAUGUCCAUUAUGCUCAGGACCCAUAGCAUCAAGAAAAGCUUUAUCUAUUAGUUUGUUUGUAUCAGUUCAGAGCCUUGAUAAAGUUUAAUAAAUUUUUGGUGCGUUAUAUUCUAUUAACCAUUUGAGAAAAAAAAAACUAAUAUUGUACACAUUUGCUCCUCCGACUUGACUACUGCUCCGGCGAUGAAACUUUUUGAAAUAGAAUUUGGGCCGUUUUGGAGCGCAAAAUAGACUGGUAGGCUAAGGAAAAUCAACAAGUCUAACGGUUCAAAUUGGCCGAUGUUCGUCCUCCGUCUCGCUUCGAGCACCAGAUCGGUCGCCGCGCAGUAUCGUCGCCCCUACUGUGAUUUUUCGUACGGAACAAAAAACAUAAUUUGUUCGUCUUCCUUUGCUUUCUUACGAUGGUUGCACUCUGGUGAAAGGCUAACAACUCCACGUUGCCGCCCUUGUGAAACUUUUUCUCCAUGACAAUGAUCUUCCACUCAGUGCCGCCCUUGAGCACUGCCGCAAGUGUCUCAUCCCACUAGGUGAGCAUCACGCCGAUCUCGCGCGCGGUCCCCUACAAUUAGCUGCUCCUCUAUCUUCCCGUGCUUCUGCCUGACCUCUAUCUGCUUCCUCUUGCGAUCACCGCCUUCGUCAAUGCCGGAGCUUCUUUUAUUGUACUUCUUGCCCUUCUUGGUCAUGAGAUCAAGGAGAUUGGCGUCUUGCCAUCAUCGAGGAGAAGAAGGGGAGGAGGCGUUCACGAACAUCGGCAAUCGGGAUGAGAAAGCGAUUAUGCUGCGUUUCAACGUCAGAAUAUUGUAGAAUUUUCUUGGUCACCAGUUGGAAAGUCCUGUGAACUUCUUGAUUAAUUACUAGAGCUUAUGCAUCAACUAUCAUACUAUUAUACAUGUAUAUGUAUAGUUAUGGAUUGAAUGCAACGUUGACUUAUCUAUAAACUCUUAUGACAGUCCGUUUUCUUUUGUCCACGUGGCAAGGUUAGCGUAACUUAAUUUUUUGUGGGGCCUCCCUGUCAUCUUAAACUAUUUUACUUAAUUAUUGAUUAGUGGGUGGGGCCUACCAGACAAAUUUUUUUUUUCUUACUCUGCUUCCCAUUUACUUUCAUUAGUCAGUGGAAGGAGUAAUUGAUAUCUGCAACUGCCAAAAUGUAGUCCAAGUCCAAAUCCAAGAGGACGUUUCUCGUAUUGUAGCAUUUAGAAUUAAUUACUUAUAUAUCCCUAUAAACUAAUAAAAUUAAAUAUUAACUCUUAGAAAAAUUUAGCUAUCAAAUAUGUUUCUCCAAAGUUGCAUAGGUUUGAAAAUAUUUUCUUUUCACUAGUUGAUCGGUUAAAAUUGAUAUUUUUAUCUACAAAGUAAUUCUUUUAUCCUUUAAUUUUUUUUAACUUCUGUUAAUAUUAUUUAUUAUUUUUAAUAUUUUUAUUCUGUAUUUCAUGUCAUUAUUUAUAUUAUAAAAAAAUUAAUAGUAAUUUUUAAUGGGGGGAUAAUUCUAACAAUCAAAAUAUAGCAAUUAACUAAAAGUAAUUAUCAUGUAGAGCCAUGAUAAACACUACUUUAGAGUUCAAGAAUUGAUCAUAGUAUGUGUUACAUAUGUUAUAUACAUAUACUAAUGUUGAACCCGCACUUCGCUGCGGAUAAUUUUGACGCUAAAUUUAAAAUAUAAUUAUAAAAAAAAAAAGGAAAAAGAAGAGAACCAUGAAAAAAUAAAAGAGAAUGACAAUAAGAUAUGUCAUUAUCAACUAUGCAAAUAUAUAUUAGGGUGCAUGAUUCCUAAGCAUUAAGAUAUAUUGGUUAAAUAUAAUUUGGAGAACAUUUAAAAAUAAGAAAGAAUCCCAAUAGGUGAAAAGCAAUACAAUCACCCAUAAAAAUUGACGCAAACUUAAGUAAUUAGCAGACUGGGAGUAAUAAUUCUAAGUAAGCAUAAAGCAAUACAACAUUGGAGAUAGUAUGAAAACGGAGUAAUAAUUCUAAGUAAUAAACUUCAUAGGAGCAUUAAUUGCUAUUUCACUUGUCUUCGUUUGGUAAAGCUUCGUGAAACCUGCAAAUCAGUUUUAAGCAUUUAAAACAAACUAUCUUAUAUAUAGAUAUGGAAACAAACUAUCUAAUGUGAAAAUAAAUCAACAUUAAACAUUACAUAAGGCGACGUCUUUUUGCAGGUUGAAUUUCAUCAAAGUUUGUAGCAGGUUGUAGAGAGCCGUUUAACCAAAUUAUAUAAAAAUUAGAAGAUAUAUAAAUAAAUUACACAAAAUUACUGUAAUUAUAAAUAUAGAAAAGUUAUAGUUUUAUUACUUUGAUGAGAUCACCGCUCCUGGUGAUGCUUCUUCAAAUAAGUCUUCACGGAUUUGUUUGUUGGUAGCAGGCGAAUCAAGUUGUUCUUCACAUUCAACAACUAAUUUUCUAUUGCAGGGGACUUCCCUCUCGUGUCCAAAUUUUGAGUAAAAAUUUUUAACACUUUAAAAGAAGGGAGACUUGACUUAAACUUUGGUAUGUCGGGUACAACUUGAAAGAUGUGCUUUUCACCAAUAAUUAUUUUUACUAAAGGGGGAAGAGUAAAUUUAUCUUAAUCAGGCGAAGUAGCUAAAUUCUGAGUCGGACAAUGAAUCAAAUCUUGUGCAAAGUUUUCGAAGAUCGUAAAAUUACAGGAACCAGUUUUAUCUUCAACAAUAGUGUUUAAUUUGUACCUAUGUUCGGCAAAUACAUUAAACAAUAUUAAUUUUAUGUGGAACAAAAUAACUCAAUAUUCUGAAAGUAAAUAAAAGAAAUAUUAUCAAGAAAAAUAAGUAUCAUGGUAUGAGAGUUUGAUCUUUUUACUGCAAUUAGAGCAUCAAAAAGUAUCAUCAUAUGUUUUGAUUACUGUUUUGCAAUUAUAGCAAGCUUUAUAUCACCAACCAAAUGAUGUAUCGAUUUCAGCAAUUUUAGCUUUAUAGGUAAACUCCAUGCUCUAUUAAUAAAUAAAUUAAUAAUUAAUAAAUAAGAAUGAAAAAAAAUUAUAUAUUAUAUAUUAUAUAUUAAAAGUUAAUAUUUCUACAAAUAAACUUACAUGUAUACCGGAUUGAUGGAGUUGUAACAAUUCAGCAAUUGUUUGCCCAUUCAACACAUGUUUCCUUGAGGACUAAUAAGUUGGUCCUUGCUAACAUUAAUUCGUUGAAUUGAAUUAACCAAUGGUUGUAAUCUACACAUAAUUAGUUUAUAUAAGUAAAGAUAUAUAUAUAUUUGAUUGCCAAACCUAUUUAAAAAUUUGAAAACUUCUGGAAUUUUCAAGUCAAUAUAAAUCUUUGAGGCAGAACAUGUUGAUAGAUAUAUCCUUUUUACAUUGGCAUAAAAUAAUACAAUAAUCGCAAUUAGAGCACCAAAAGUAUCAUCAUAUGUUUUGAUUGCUGUUUUGCAAUUAUAGUAAGCUUUGUACCAUCAACCAAAUGAUAUAUCGAUUUUAGCAAUUUUAGCUUAACAGGUAAACUCCAUGAUCUAUUAAUAAAUUAAUUAAUAAUUAAUAAAUAAGAAUAUAAAAAAAAUAUAUUAUAUAUUAUAUAUUAAAAGUUAAUAUUUCUACAAAUAAACUUACUUGUAUACCGAAUUGAUGGAGUUGUAACAAUUCAGCAACUGUUUUUCCAUUCAUACACAUUUUUCCUUGAGGACUAAUAAGUUGGUCCUUGCUAACAUUUAAUUUGUUGAAUUGAAUUAGCCAAUGGUUGUAACCUACACAUAAUAAUUAGUUUAUAUAAGUAAAAAUAUANAUAUAUAGAGUCCGGCUAUUGUGCUUGUAAAAACACCAAGCACUUGGUGCUUGUAAAUUUUUAUCGUUAGAUCUACGCCUUCAAUCAUUUUUACCCGUUAGAUUAUACUAUUCAACCAACUAACCACUCAACCCUAGGGGGCCCACAUCAUCCUAACCGCACAUCCCUUAAUCCAAGGGCCGAAAACUUACAAGCACCAAUGACUUGGUACUUUUAAAAGCAUAGGAGCUCAAUUAUAUAUAUAUAUAUAUAUAUAAUUAGAUUUUUAUUUGAUUGCCAAAUCUAUUUAAAAAUUAGGAAACUUCUGAAAUUUUUAAGUCAAUAUAAAUCUGUGAGGCAGAACAUGUUGAUAGAUGUAUCCUUUUUACAUUGGCAUAAAAUAAUACAAUAAUUAAUAAUUUGAAAAGUUAUGCCGGAGAAAAAAAUAUAAUAUUCUUUUAGUGCAUUAAAUGCAAAUCUCUGAAAGAGCGAACAGUCAUUCUAGCAAAAACUAUUAUAAUUGGCCCAUUUAAACAACAAAUUCUAGCGAAAAUCACAGAUGUAGUCCUUCUUUCGGCAAUAGCAUAGCCCAGAAAAUCACAAAAUAAGUGUUCAGUAAAAGACCACCAAAACGUCAGCAAUAAAAACCUCCUAGCAAGGAAAUAGGUUCCAUACCACCAAUGGCCACAGAAACUUCAAAAUUUACAUUGAACCAAGGUUUUCGAGAAAACACUAACACAUAACUAAGAAACAAAAGGUAGAAGUGAGAGUUUGGAAACAUAACAGAAUAUAGAAAAUCUAAAAGCCACAAACAUAAUAGAAUACAUAGUUUUCAAAAGUACACCAAAAAGAUCAUGUGCGCAAGCAUGAUCAUUUUUUGAAAACACAACAAAAAGAUCAUGUGCACAUGCAUCAUCAACUACAAAAUAAGGAGCAGCAAAACAUGUCACUUUUUCUUUGAACUCCAAUUAACCCAGGGGAGCGGAUGUAUCAUCCGAUGCAUCAGUUUCUGUCCUUGGUGGAACAGAGAUCAGGCGGUUAAUUACACCAUGGUACUCUUCAAUGGCAUGGCAUAUCUUGAUCCGUUCAGUCACGAACUUACUUACCUGUGCAAGUGUAGCGACAUAGCAAUUCUUCAUAAAGUUAUACUCUUGAACCAAGCUGUUGUAGUGUGCAAAUAGCACAGCAUACUCUGUGGCUAGAUGAUUGUAUAGAUUUUUAUAAAAGAUACUUUCAUUGUAAUUUACAUCUUUCACUUGCAAAUCAAAUUCUUCGACCAUCCUCUUAAUAGUAAGGCGAGCAGCAUCUUGUUUAGAUGUAGCAGAUGUGGAGGAUUGUGCCCCCCAACAUCGUACCAUUUUAACUAUAGAUUCAUUCCGUGGAAUCGAAAGAUCUAUAUAUGCGAGGUAAGUCCCCUCUGCAGCAGGAGUGACAACACACUGUGGUGUCUCCAUUUGCAGCUGAUCACAAAUCUCAAGCAAUAAUGUAAGGUAAGAAAGUUGGACGGUCGACAUAGAAGAAGCUGCAAAAGAGAGGGGGAAAAAAGGGUAAGGAGAUGUAAAAGGGUAAGUCAUUAAAAGCGUACUGAUAAAAGAAUAAAAUAACAUGUGAGGAGAAAUAGAUAUCGAAAACAAAGACAUGAGUAGUAAAAAAACAAAACCAAAAAAUAAAGAUAUCAGUAGUAAAAGAAACCAAAAAUACGAAAAAUUUUUCAAAGUAAUGGCAUGAGCAAGUAAUCUUCAAGGCUCGGGUAAUAUAGGCAACUAAUUUAUGCCAUGGAAGGAGGCACAUAACAGGAUUGACCAACUUAAAAACAACAAGUGGUUGCCUAUGAUAAGACGGUCGAAAAUUCUUUACAAAAUUUUGCAUCAUUUAUUUGUUUUUGCUUGCUUAUCAUCAUUAUUUUAUGCCAUGAAAAGAGGCAUGCAAGAGAAUUGAUCAUUCGUGGAAAGAAGUACCUCGCACCAAUCAUUUUUUAAAUAGUAAGUGGUUGCCUAUGAUAAGGCCAUCCAAACUUGAUAUUCAAAAUUUUGCAAUUAUUUAUUUUCUUACCAAUCAAUUUUUAAAUAGUAAGUGGUGAACAUAUAGUAAGGGCAUCCAAAGUUGGUAUUCAAUAUUUUGCAAAUAUUUUGUUUUUUUAUCAUCAUUGUUUCACCAAUCAAUUUUUAAAUAGUAAGUGGUUGCCUAUAAUAAGGCCAUCCAAACUUUAUAUUCAAAAUUUUGCAAUUAUUUGUUUCCUUACCAAUCAAUUUUUAAAUAAUAAGUGGUGAACUUAUAGUAAGGCCAUCCAAACUUGGUAUUCAAUAUUUUAUAAUUAUUUGUUUCCUUAUCAUCAUUAUCUUAUGCCAUGAAAAGAGGCAUGCAAGAGAAUUGAUCAUUCAUGGAAAGAAGUACUUCUUACCAAUUAAUUUUAAAACAGUAAGUGGUUGCCUAUGAUAAAGCCAUCCAAUUUAAAAUUAGUAAGUGGUUCCCUAUCAUAAGGCCGUCCAAGCUUGCUGUUUACUACUUGCCUAUCAUCAUUACCUAGAAGACCCGCGAAAAUAAAACAUCAGUUGAAAAAGGGGGGGUGGACAGUAAAGCCAAAGUCAUGGUAAAGGAAGAAAGAACACACAGAAAAAAAGGCAUGUUGAAAAAGACAGGAAGAAAGAUCAAAGUAAUCACAUAGCACAAUUAGAAAAAAAAAAAAAAAAAAAAAAAAAAAAAAAAAAAAAAAAACAAACACCAAGAACCAUUAAAGAUAAGUAAAUGUGGCCUAUAAAGUGAAGUCUGAGAAUUUAAUUAGUAGAAUGAAUAGAAAUCAGUAAAAAAUGCAUUAAUUGGAUUAUAGAGUAAUCUUAUAAGCACAGGCGAAUACUUUAGUACUUUAAUUUUUCUUUGCCAAUCUUUAAACUGCAGGGAAAUAAAAAGUGCAGCAAAAGAGACCAAAGAAGAUCAACCUUUUGUGAUUAAGUAGUAAACAGGAGAGUGUGGGGACCUGCACAACAGUGCAAUGGUUAGUAAAAUCACUUGGUUACAGUUAAUAUUAUUAAUGAGAAGAUUUGAAGGGAGGAACAUACUUUUCUUGGUUUGAGGAGAACACUGUGGCAUGCAGCAAUUAAUGAGGGGAGCUAUUUAUAAUAAAUCUGAGAGAAGCUUUCGAUUAUCACAGAAGAAAAGAGGGAAGGCAACAGGGCUAAGUACAGGGACGAGCUCUAGGGUUUAUCGGCUUCUUGAGUAAUCUUUUGGAACUCAGGAAAAAAUCUGUAAAGAUACUCUCAAAACUAAAGAAAUAAAAUAAGAGCAAGCUAUUUGUAAAAAAUAGUAAAAAAUUUUGUAAAAAUAAAAAUCUUUAGGAACUCUCAACAGAUUUGUAAACAACCCACCAAAAUCAUAGGAAUAGGGUAGGAUUAGCCCAGAGCAACUAUCUAAUGGACAGAGUAGGCUAGUUAUAGGAUUUAUGUAAGCAACAUUUGAAAAUCUCACUAGAUCUGUAAAAAUCUUUUAAAAAUCUCACCAGAUCACCAAAAUCAUGAAAAAAUAGGCUAGAUUUAGGCGGAGGAGCAACCGCCUAAUCGACGGGCUCAUCCCACACGCGUUUGAGGCGAUCGGCGGAGCGAUCGAGAAAGACCUCGAGAUAGGAGCGUAGGACACUCAUCAGGAAGGCACGAGAGGUUUGAGGGUGAAGAAGAGAAAGAGAGUUAGGGAGAUCUCACCAGAUCUAUAAACAACCAAGCAAAAUCAUGAAAAAAUAGGCUAGGUUUAGCCCCAGGAGGAACCGCCCAAUCGACGGGCUCAUCCCACAUGCGACCGAGGCGACCGACGGAGCUCGGAGUAGGGGAAAGAGCGAUUAGGAAGAAGCGUCACAAUAGAAACCGCCCAAUAGACGGCCUCAUUGCAUCUGCAGUCGAAUCUAGUGGCGGAGCGUUCUAGAGAGGCCUUGAGGUAGGAGGGUAGAGAACUCAUGAGAGGUUUGAGGCCGAAGAAGAGAGAGAGAGUUAGGAAAAGGGUGUAGAGAGAGGCCUCGGAAGAGGCAUACAUGAGAGAGGGAGGAGAGAGAGGGGCAGCAGAGGGCGUGGAGAGAGGCCUGAGAAGAGGCAUACAGGAGAGAGGGGAAAGAGAGAGAAGGGGUAGAGGAGAAGACAGAGAUAGAGAAAAGCCUCGGAAGAGGCGUACAGAAGAGAGGGGAAAGAGAGAGAGGAAGCAGAGGAGAAGAAAGAGAUAGAGAGAAGCCUCGGAAGAGGCGUGAGGGGAAAGAGAGAGAUAGAGAGAAGCGGAAGAGCCACAUCUGGAAACUGAAUUAUUCGUGGAAACAGGAAAUGCAGCCACGUAUACCGUACGAACUGCCAAUUAAUCUAUUUGUAUGGAUAGUGUUGAAUGCUACUCAGUUACAAAUCCUAGUCUGAUUUGAAAUAAUUGCAUGUAUAUCCCUAUAGAAUAAUGAAAUAAAAUAUUAAUAUAAGUUUACAAAUUUUAGUUCUUAAAAGUAGUUUUGCAAAGUUGCAUAUAUUGGCAAAUAUAUCUUUUUAUAUUAGUUGAUUGGUUAAAAUUAACAAUUUCUUCUACAAAGUAACUAUAUGUUUUAUUCUUAAAUAAAUACUUUUUUAUUUUAUACAACCUCAUUUAUUAUUUUUAACCGUCAAACUAUAUUUAUAUUUGUGUGUAUAUAUAUACUUAUAGGUUACGGUGAGAGCAGCGUUGAAUUAUAUGUAAUUCUGUGUACUACUCCUAGAUGUAUUUGAAAUUGAACACACUGAUUUGAAUCUCCACCAUUAAAUGCUAUUAAAUUCAAAAUUGAUGGUAUAACAAUAUGAAAAACACUAUUCUAGUCUGAAUCGGCUGUAACAUAUAGAAUUACUUGCAUAUAUAUUAUAAAUUUAAAUAUACAUCAAACAUACAUAUAUAGUUUAUACUGUAAAAUUAAUUCUGAUUCGAAUCAGGAUCAAAUUUGAUAAAGAUAAAAUUCAAAUUCAUACCCAGAUUAAAAAUGCUGAUCACUUAAAAAUUUACGGAUAAAUUUUACUCGUUUCCAAAUAACUCAGCGCGUAGGGUGAUCCGCCCGGGAAUCGGCCAACCCGGUAUGGCUGGGAAGUCCCUCCCUUCCGAACGCUGCUCGUAUUCCACGAACCCCGCCCACCACCACAAAACAGAAAGGGGGAGAAAACUGAAAAAGCGAAAGUGAUGCUGCCGGCAGUCUCCGCUGCUCUCUCGUCCGCCGGCGCCCUCUCGCGCCUCCCUUUCUCCUUCCCCUCGCUGGCCGGAAGAAACCCUAAACCAAGAACGAUGCCGCCUGCCCGCCGCGCCGCCCUCGCCCUCGCCUCCGCCUCUUCCUCCGCCGCCGGCAGCGAUGACGGGUCCCAGCCGAAGCCCUGGCUGUUCGUCGGCCUCGGCAACCCCGGCAAGUUGUACAACGGCACCCGCCACAACGUAAAAUCCUUUUCUUUUUUUUAAAAAAAAAUUAAAAUUUUGAUUUUAGUAUUCUAAUUUUUUAAUUUGUUUGAUUUGAGUCCGUCAAGGUUACUCUGACGUCAAAAUUUAAUGAAUUUACUUACAGUUGCGUGAAUUACAUGAAGUAUACUAACUAAAUUCGUAAAGAUGAACGGCACAUUCAAAUAUUGCUGAUUCAAAGCAAACAAAUUGCAAGGUUGGGUAGUAAAAUCAAAAUGGUCCGUACUUCAGAUAAGUUCGGUACGUUUUUACCAAAAAUUAAUAGAAGUUUAAAUAAUAAAUAUAUAUAAAUCAGUGGGCCUAAAUCUAAUAGUUUUAAGCUUUUAGGCUGGUUAUGAGUUUCAUUAGAUAUAGAGCUUCCUAACAUUCUUCGUCCUCUUCUCAAUUCUUGCUGUGUUAAGGUGGAUUUGGCGUAAAAGUUGAUGCAGCAACGUAGGAAAAAUUGUGAAUUUGCAUGCGAAUUUGUGCUUUUACGCUCGGCUGUAGUAAUGUGAUAAACAGAAAUGUGGGUAGAUGGAACGGAAGUGAGAUUUAAGUAGUUUGUGAAGUUUGGAGAGAGGGAAAGAGGGAUUUACAAAAAGGUCGGUGUAUGGAAGCGGUUAAGAACUUUCAUUUUCUUUUCCCUCGAGUUAAGAGGGAAGUGUGUAUUAGGUAUGCUGUGAAUUUGGUUUGAGCACAAGCACAAGUGAGAGUGAGAGCGAGAGAGAGUUCCCUCAAUUUAAGUGGAAAGUGCGUAUUAGGUAGUCUGUGAAUUUGGUUAGAGCACAAAUGUAAGUGAGAGCGAGUGCCGAGCGUACCCGCGCAUAGGCACGCGCGCGCGCGCGUGCGAGAGAGAGAGAGAGAGAGAGAGAGAGAGAGAGAGAAAGCUUGCGCAAGAGAGAGAGAAUGAAAGUGAGAACAAGAAAAAGAGAGAGAGAACACGCUAGAGAGAGAGAACAAGAAAGAGACAGAGAGUGAGCAAGAGAUAGAGAAAGUACGAGAAAAAGAGAGAGAGCGUGCAUGAGAGAGAGAGAGAGCGAAAGUGAGAACAAGAAAAAGAGAGAGAGCACGCGCUAGAGGGAGGGGUAGAGAGAGGGAACAAGAAAGAGACAGAGAGCAAGCGUGCACGCGAGAGAGAGGAGAGAGAAAGUGAGAGAGAACACGCACUAGAGAGAGAGCGAACGAGAGAGAGAGAGAGAGGUUAGUUGGUCCACUUCGAGCGAAUGUGUUAAUUCACCUUAAAGAGUACCAGGCCUCUACAUUCUAGAGACGAAAUUUGGUUAUUAUUUCGGUUGCAUCUGGAUGGCCCCUUGUCCCUUGGAGUCCACUAGGACAAAUUUUAGGGUGAUUAUGCAGGCCAAAUUAUUUUAGGGAUUCCACCAACCUCGUAAGUGCCAGUGCCUCUGCCAAUAUAAUUGUUGCAACCUUUCUGGUCGCUAAAAUGGGAGCUUGACGCCUAAGGUUUACUAAGUGUUACAGCUUUGAAGAGACAGAAAAGAGUCAGGGAUACAGACACCAAUGAUCAAAAGAUUGAAGAAUCAAAUUCUAGUGAAGACCAACAAAAGGAGGGCGCCUUUCCUAUAAUGCUUAGCAUCACUCGGGACAUAUAAUAGAUCAAUCACAAAAGGGCAUGUCAGAUUGGUUAGAUCAGAUUAAGGGCAUUUGUAAUUUUUUUGAAAAGAUGUUAAAAGAAAAAUAUUGUUAGUGAGUUUUUGGUUGGACUAUGAUCUAGCUUUUGUGUUCUAAGGCUUACAAUGAAGACAUUGUCCAGCUGAAGUGGUAAAAUGUGUAAGAGAAUCAACCUCCAAUGUGAUCAUGUCUGAAAUGUUUGAUCAUGGUGUGAUACUUAAAAUAUGCAACUACUUGUGACAUAUUCUUCUGUACUUCUCUGCCUUCUGAUACUAUCUAUGGGCUAACAAAUAUAAUAUAUGGAGUGGUAGCGUUUGUUUCUUUAUAAAAAUAUUUUGGAAAUAUCUCUUUCUUUACAGAAGCAUGUGAAUAGUUUUUCUUGAAAUUUCCUGACAGGUUGGGUUUGAGAUGAUUGAUGUUAUAGCAGAAGCUGAAGGGAUAUCUUUGAGUAGCAUACAGUUCAAGGCAAUGCUUGGAAAAGGUACUUUCUUUUUUCAGAUGAUUAAACCUACUUAACUCCGUAGAUAGUUAGGCCAGAACAUGUUUAUUCAAUAUUACCAUAAGAGGAGAUAUGGGUAAUUUUAUCUUUGGUGAUACAAUUACUAUUUAAUCAUUGCAUGUCAUUGGUGAUUUUGUAGAAAUAUCAAUUUCUUGCAUUCUAUCCUCCAAUGGUGUAAAAGGCAGUUAGCCAUCAAACAGUUAUGCUAUAAAACCCAAUCUUUUGUCUUCUUUCCUGCCACUUCUUGCUCUUCAUUUUCAUGUCUACGUAAUUCCUCUUAGAGCUAUUAUGCUAAUUUGGACUAUUCCUAAUUGCAAAAGUGAUUUUCCAGUACUAGUGCUACAUAGGCUAUAUAUGAUAUUAUGAUGUCAUGACCACAAGAGUAGCUUGGAAUGAACUUGUAUAUUGAGGCUUAAGUUGGCACAGUAAGCAUUUGCUUUCCUAACUUUCUGAUUUUAUUCGGCUCAUCAGCUAUUUAGUUGUUAUUUGUACCCCAGGUUAUUUCACCUACAUUUCUUGAUACAGUAAAGAUGCAAUCACUUUCAUCCAUAAGGAAUAAAUUUGUAGUUUUAUUGGAGUAUCUUCAUGCUAAUAUGCUCCUUUCUUUUUUCUUCUAAUAUUUGAGGAACAAAACACCAGAUCAUCUGGCUUUCUGAAUUCAUCUUACCAUUGAUUUGUUUUUGACCAAAUAGAGAACAUCAAUAUGUAUUGGCUACUUAAUUUAUAUGUAGAUAAGAGUCAUUUUUUGUUUUAUUAUUCCAUGUUGGAUCCUGAUAACAUGACUUGUUUAUGUAAGGAUUUGCCGACUCGCUUCGCAAUUAAAAAAUAAAAGUCUCUUUGACUUUCUCUGGGUUUGAUACUUAGUUCAUCUUGGUUACCUAUAUAUAUUACUUGUAUUGUAAUUUUUGUGUCCAUAUAUUCAUGAAUCUGUACAUGUAUAUCAACAUUGUUCUUUGAAUGAGCCAAAUGACUGAUUCUUUUAUCUGUAGGAAUGUGUUUCGUACUUUUGUAGUAUAUUAGUCAUUUGCCACCUGAGCCAUCUUUUACUUAUAACUUAUGAUAACCAAUUAUCUACUUAAGUUGUAGGUGUAGGCUAAUAUCCACAAACAAAUAUGCAAGUUUGUCUUUGUUUGUUUAAUUAUUGGUGCUCAUUUUAUGCUGGAAACUGCAAUUCCUGUUGGUAACUUAAUAUAGAGUAUAUAUAUAUACUUGGAUUUAAAUAUAUUGUAAUUGGUUUAUAUUCAGGCCAUAUUGGUGAUUCCCCUGUCAUGCUUGCCAAACCUCAAACUUUUAUGAAUGCAAGUGGUGAGUCUGUAAGUAGAUACCUCUAACCCAUCUAAAUUAAGUACAACUAUCUGAAGCAAUUCUUAUUAUAGUCCUAUUCCAGUUUUAUGAUGCAAAUUAGGGCUUCUUCAUGUAGGUUGGUUCGCUGGUUUCAUAUUACAAGAUACCACUGAAUCAAGUACUUCUGGUAUAUAUAUCAUUAUUGUCGUUAUGCAACUAUUGAUGUUUCGUUCUUACUAUUAUGUUUUGAUGGGCUUUUAGUUUUGUUACUCUGCAGAUGUAUGAUGACUUGGAUUUACCUUUUGCAAAAUUGCGCCUACUACCAAAAGGUGGACAUGGAGGUCAUAAUGGGUACUUUUUUUUUUUCUUGACUUCAAUUUUUGUCAGAACUGGCAAUAGCACAUUUAAAUUAAUAACGAAGGUGACUCCUUUAGUACAAGUAAAUUUAAGUGAGAGUGCAAGCCUAGCUUUUUAUCUCAGCGACACUAUAUUUUGUCACCUUGCGUUAAUCAAAUAUCACCCAGUUUCUGUCCCUUGGCAUUAAGUUUGUCUCAGGAAUAAUUUUUUAUCGUAGCAAUACUUGCUAACACUCAUGCUGUCUUUUUAUCCAUUGAAUCUCAGGAAUAAUUUUUCAUCCACAAUCCUGAUAAUUGUAGCAAUAGUUGCUAACACUCAUGCUGUCUCGUUAUCCGUUGAAUUUAUUCAUCCUCCUCGUUGGUUAGUGAAAAAGAUGAGAGUUCUCAUAUUCUUGUGAUCAUUUCAAUGUUUAUAUCUUGUUUAAUGAACUUUACCAAUAAGGCUGGCAUCUUCCUUGGAACUAUAUGACCUUUGAAUUCUGAACUUUUUUCCUUGUGAACACUUCAGAUGCCGUCUGUGCGUUAGCCAAAUUCCACUUUUCAAACCCCAUGAUUCAGGUUAUAAUACCUUAAAACCUCGAGGUUCGUGUUCUAGAUGCCGUCUCUGCUUUACCCAAAUGUUUACAGUCACAAUAUUAUUGCAAAUGAUACGAAUAAGUUGCUUUGCAUCAUUUACCCUCCUUAUGAUGAGCUACUUGCUUGUCACAUGUUCAAUUUUAAGGGUAUUUAACUGCAAGCAACUGUAAUGGCUACUUCAAGCCAAGGGCAUGUUUGGUUUGAAAGCUUUGAGGCUUAGAAUGGGAAUCGGAAUGAUCCAUUCCUAUUAUUAGUGCUUGGUUUGAGGGAUUGACAUUUCGAUUCCCAUUUUUGGUGGGGGGGGUGUAAAUCGAAUCCCUUCAAAAUGAUUCCCACCACAGAAGGGGAAUCAACUUUGAUUCUCGAAGAGAUUGAGAAAAGAACUCUUUUUUUUCCUCUAACAAUUAUUUAAAUUCAGAUAUUAAUGUAUAUUUAAUUUCAGAAUAAAUUAUAAUUUUUAAAUUUGAAUCUGAUUGUGAGUUUGGAUAGUAAAUUUAAAUUUUAAUUAAAAUUUAAUUUUUUUGAAUUUCAAUUUGAGCAUGAUUCCGGUUCGGAAUCCUCUUAUGAACCAAACAAAUUAAGAGUUUUCAUCAUUCCGUUUUCGUUUCCGGUUCGUUCCCAUUUCUUUAUUCCGAUUUCGAUUCCUAUUUGAAUCCAGCACGCCCUUACAGUCUGAACCACAUGGUUUUAAAUUGAAUAUAGACUAACACUAAAUGGUUGUAUAAAAUUUUUCCUAUCAAUUUUCUCUUGUUCAUCCUUAAAAUUGACAAUCAACAUCUCUUGAUUAAUCAAUAUUCCCAGUUAAAUCCCACUGAUUUAUUUAUAGAUAGCUCGCUUCCUUGAUCUAAUCAACUUUAGAAGUAAGGUGUAAGUUAGUAAAUUAAAAUGAAUGCUUCUAGAUUUACUUGAACCUUAGAUUAUUUACUUCCCUAUUUACUUCAUCUUUUCUACUCCGCUUUACUUGUUCAGUCUACUUUUGCCCUCUCUUUGCUUUUGCUUUUCCCCAUCAUUAAAUUGAGAAUGAGAAGCUGCUUAGACAAUAUUUUUGGUUUAUAUCAGUAGUACUAGUUGUUCCUAUACCCUGUUUAAUUAGUUUUGAUGAUGAGAAUAAAUUAGGAAUGAGAGCUUCCCAUUUUUCUUAGACCUUUUUAAUUUAUAUGUAGGAUGCGAAGCGUGAUGAGCCACUUAAAAGGAAGCCGUGAUUUUCCACGUCUAAGAAUAGGUAAUGAAUUUCUUAAUUUUACCUUACCUUUGUUUCUUCUUUCGGCGAUUAUUAAUGUAUUAUCCUGUGAAUAUUCGCAAAGGCAUUGGGCGGCCGCCAGGAAAGAUGGAUUCGGCCAACUUUGUUCUUCGACCCUUUAACAAGAAAGAGCGCGAAGAGGUUUUCCCCCCAAUCUUGAUGCUUUAACAUUUUCGUGGUGAUGUGGUGGUAUUAACCUAGUGGGAGCUGGUAUUAACAUUUAUUAGAAUAUCAGGAACAUUGAACUUGUUCCCGUCUAUUGUAUAUACACUUAUCUUGUUUAAUGCACCUACUCAGAAAAUAAUAAUUCGAGCUCUAUUAUUCGCAAGAUCAGUCAGAUGCAAGGAUUGUCGUGCUGGUUGGUACAGUCUGGCAUAGCCAGCACAUGCUGCUUGUGUGCUGGCCGUGCUGCUCGUGCCUAUAAGCUCAUGCCGACCAUGCUGACAUAUAAAAAUUGAAUAUGUGCUAAGACAUGCCAGCAUGCUAUGCCGAUGGCACACCAGCACGCCCUGUGCCAGUGGCACAACAAUCCCUGAUAAGAUGUGAUAUAUAUAUAUAUGGUUUAGAUCAUGUUCAACGGUGUCGAUCGUCGAUUUGAAAGCUCUAUAAUCAAAAACAAAUCGGCAGUAAACCGAGCCGUUUACUACCGAUAGUAGCCCAGUCAAGCUCUCUCUCUCUCUCUCUAUAUCUCUCUCUCUCUCUCUCUAUAUAUAUAUAUAUAUAUAUAUUGAGUUGAGCUCAUGUGCUUUUAAAAUCAUAGGAGCUCAAUGUGCUUGUGGUUUUUAGCUGUUGGAUUGCCUCAAAAUCUAUGCAGCACUAGUAAAGAAGACUUAAUAGGAUACGCCAUUAAUUGUACUGCAUGGGUUUGAGAUGAUCCAAUGGCUAAAAAAUCACAAGUACAAAUGCUCUUGUGCUUUUAAGGAGCUCAACUCUCUCUCUCUCUCUCUCUCUCUCUCUCUCUCUAUAUAUAUAUAUAUAUAUGACGUAUUUGUUUGUUCUUCUUUUGGAUGCAGCUGGAUUUUACCUUUCAUCGGGGAUUGCAAGCAGUAAGGAUUCUGGUGCUCGAGGGAUUCAACAAGAGUGCGACAUUCGUAAACAGUUCGCAGUCGUCAGAACUCUUGAACAAAUGAAGCCGAUCAUCAUCUCAAUUCGCCAGUGAUAUCGACAUGGAAACCGACGCGAGUUAAAUUAUUUGCCGCGCCUUCCAAUCCAGCGGCCUUAAAAAUAUACAGCCUUUUCAUCGAAAGGGAGCCUGAACAAGCGCGGCAAUACGCAAUACCAUCAUGUGCUAUUCUUUUUCGUAUUUGAUUCUGAAACUCACUAGGUGUUUCUUUGUGGGGUGAUAUUUUUGUAAACAAUAUGUCAUUUUUUUUCAGUGAAAAUGGAAGUUUCAUAAAGUGUUGAAGGAAAAAUUAUGAUCUGAGCUGGGUGUACUCAAACAUCUGUGCAUCACAUGUUCAUUUAUUCUUUAUCUCAUCUUAUAUUUUAAUGGUUAAAAUAUCGGUUUUUUUAAUUUCUAAUAUGACAUUUAAAAAUCUAUAUUUUAUCUUCUUAAAAUUUCUAGUUGAUACAUUUAGUCCUCUUCUGCCAGAGCUCCGGCACUAUUCUAUCUAUUUUUUAUAAGUUAUACCAAAAAUACUUAAAAUAAUAGAAAUAUAUUAUUAUUAUUAUUAUUUUUGUUAAAAAAGUAAGGACAAUUUGGUCAUUUCACUAUUUUCAUUAACGCUAUAAUCUUUUAAAAAUAUUUUUAAAAUUUUAAGGAGACUAAAUAUAGAUUUUAAAAGCCACGAAAAAAGUGAGAAAAUAGGUAUUUACAAGGAUGGGCUUUUUUUCAAUUUAGCCCUCCGGCAAAUUUUUAUUUUAAAAAUAGCCCUGUCAAAAUUUAAUUUGCAAAAAUGGCUCUGGCCUUGCCACGCAGGCGCCACGUCAGCACCACGCGGGUAGGACUAGGGCCAGUGUGUUAAGUUGAAUACGGUGAAUCAUUUACCGUGUUCAAACACGGUGAAUGAUUCACCGUGUUCAAACACGGUAUAUUUUUAUUCCUUUUCUUCUCUUUUAGGGAUGUAAACGGGUCGGUUUUGGGUCGGGUUUGGAUCGGAUUUUUAAAAAUCCGAAAUCAAAUUUGAAAAUCAAAUUGAA